GUUGCCGCACGUCUCCCGAAGUCUUCUGAUCCAUCUCAUCCACCUGGUCCUGGUAAUUGUAAAUCUCACCUCUUUUUAGUUAUACUUCUCCGGUCUUUCUUUUGUUGUGUCUUUGCUCUUUUCAAAUUUCAAGUUUAAAUUACCUUUUCAGUUAAGUCAACCGUAGAAUUUUUUUGGCAUUAGGGAGGCAUAGCUGCUAUCUCGCUAUCUGCAAACGUAUUCAACAAGACAUAAUGUUCUUGAAAAUUCUACUAUUGGCACCCCCAACGCAGCCCACAUCAUCUUGGUACAGAGACGGUUUUCCCUUUUCCAAAACAGGCUGCACUUAUCAUCUGAGAACCUUCGGAGCUCUUUGAGAAAGGUUUCCUCUUUUAUUAACUUAAUGUUGCCAAUGUGUUCCCUCUGCCAAUGUGUACAAACCGAGUCUGUCUUUGAACAUCUUUUGUAUUUUGUUUGCCAGCUGCAAGUCACCAAGUUCGACCAACUCAACCCCACGACAAGUUAAACAAAGGAAAAAGUAUGCAAUCCUUCGCCCAUUUCUCAAAAAGUAAGCCCGCUCUUUCCAUUAUGUUUUCGUAUGGCCUAUUUAUCGUCGCAUUGUUGUAUAUUUUGCAUUAUUACUAAUUUAACAUUGCCAAUCUAUUUUCUCUAACAACGUGUAUAACACUUAACUUAUCUAACUUUGCCUACUUACAUUUUAACUUCAACCUUUAAACAUGUUAUGUAUUUUGAUUACUAGCUGCCAGCCGCGAUGUCAGACUCAAUUCCUGCGCAAUUUAGAUAAAGGAAAGCAAGUAUGCAGCCUAUUCACUAUCUUUGAAACAGGUAAUCCAGCUCUUUGCCUUAUAUUUUUCAGUAUGGCAUAUUGAUCAUCACUUUAUUGUAAAUUGUGAUUGUUUGCACAUAAGGGUGCAUGUUGGAUGUGUCUACUCAGCAUUAUGCGGCCUUAAAUACAGUUCCAAUCGAAAGGUUUGUGCUAAAUUGAUACUCCAAUAAUAUCUACUUCACCUAUUACUGAACAGCGAAGCGAGUAAUAUGAUUCUAAAAAAAGUUCCUAACUGUUCAUAUUGUGGCACACAAAAAUUUGAAUACAAAAGAAGAAUCUAAACAUUUUCGAACAUAGAUUAGAACAUACAAUAAUAUGUUGAACACAUUGCUUGGUGUGAAGUACGAUAAAAAAAAUUGUGAAAAGAAAUUGUGGUAUGUACAGAUUUAGAGAACAAGGACAUAUGUAUCAUUUCAUAGAUGAUUUAGUCGCUUCCAACGAAAAACCCAACAACUUACAAUUAUACUUUUCUGAUCAUGAGAAUGAAUUGGCUAGCAGAAUGGCCAAAAAACCCCAAACUAUUAGAGGCAAGGCUAAUGACAAAAAGGGUCUAAGAAGUCAUGGUACUUACUCCCUCUGUUUCAUCUUCGAUUUACUUAAACUAAUACUCAUUAUUAUAUAAUUAAAGUUUAAAGUUACAAUUUAUGAGUGCAGUAAUUUUAAUAGCAUCAAUUGUUGAGAUUUUUACUGGUAAAACAAAAUACAUACUAAAAUACUUUAGCAGUACAAAAAGAAAUAUCUAUUCAUAAUAUCUUGAGAUUGUUUCCUAUUAAGCUAUUCAAAGAAGGAAACAGUGUGAUUGACUUGUCUUUUUGUUUACCUAUUUUGAUUAAAAUAAAGAUAUUCUCCUUCACUCCACAUUAUCAUUUUACUUAACAAAAGAAACAAUAACUUGUGUACCGAAAGAGGUACCAUUUUCUCAUGAAUUUAUCUUGAGUUGAGAUUCUUUGGUCAAUUUUAUCCAAUUUUGCUAACAGCAGUCCAUUUUCAAUCUUAAAUUGGUUAAAAUACAGCAACGGAAUUGGGUAUUUAUUUAAGGUGACAAUGUAUAUUAUUUAUUAAACUCUUAUGUUUUAUUGUGCUUUCUAUUCUGGCUUUGAAAUUUGGGGCUAAGAAAAAGGUUGGGAUGUUCAUUGUUCAAGUAAUUUGAGAUAUUAGACGAUGCUAUUGAUGUAAUGAAAUUGGAAGAUGCUGUAAUUCAAAACAUGGUAAAGUCUCUGAUUUGUGUUCACAAGUUGCAAUCCUUGAUUGUUUUUCAUUGUAUUGGGUUAUUUUUCAUAAUAUUGGCAAUUUUGACAAAUGUACAAUGAUUUUAACUCCACUAUGUACAUACUUGGUCACCCAUGGAAGAAGUGUGAAAAGAUAAUUCAGCAAUUAUUUGGAAACCUUUCCUCAUGUUGGGAACCAAAAUGAGGUACAAGAAGCAAUGUAAAGUGUACUUCAAACAGAACUUGAGUUGUACGAGUAGGGUUAAAAUAGGAAAUUCACUUUAUUCACUCUCUCACCUCUGCUUCUACUCUUUCUUCUCUGGCUGACAACAUUGACAGCCAUUUUAAACCUUCAACGGAGUUAAACUUUGCUUCAGAGUCUCACUCCAACUUCUCAAGUUCGUUCAAUUGUUUACCUGGUAAGUAUUCUUGUGUGGUAUUGACCCUCUUCCCUUGUGAAUUUUAACUCUUUUUUUCCCAUUAUUGUGUUUAUGCUUCCUAUUAUUUUACUGAUUUUUCUUAUUUAUAGGUCUUCCACAAUUUUUCUCGGAUUCUUUUGAGUUCAGAUAGAUGCCUCUUGAAAUACAUGCAUAAUUUGUUUUCAAUAUUUUGCAGUUUCUAGCUCUAAAAUACUAAAAAAUAUUAGUAGUAUUUUCUUAUCAAUAUAUGAUACUUUUUGUAGAUAAUUAAUGGCUUGAUGCGGUAGCAUGUUUGCCGGAAUUUCCUGUGAAGGUAAGACUUGUGUGUUAUGAAGAGAGAUUAGUUACAAGAGUUGAUUGUUUUGGCAGAUGAUUGAAGGUGCUAAUGAAGUUGAACGGUGGGCUUAGGUGAAUAGACAUUUUCCCUUGUAAUAUCUUUUUUUCAUAUGGUAUUUUCCCCAAAAAAUAUUGAGUAAGAAUUUGAGUUGCCGAAUUCUUUGAUGCUGCCAUGAAAUUAGAAGUGAUAACGUAAUGCUGAAAAUUCUGGGUAAGCUUUCAGUAUUGAUCUUUUUGUUGUUUGAACUACAUUUUUGAAAAAAUUCAACUACUAAUAUAGUAAGUUGAGGUGAUAUUCAAAGACAAAUUGUUUAAAUACAAAGUCAGAAUAACAAGCAGGUUGAAUCAGGUGAAAAGGUUCAUUUCUGGCUCUCCAAUUUCCAAGUCCUUUAAGGUACCAUUCCACAUUUUCUUAAGAACAUUUAAACUUUUGCCAAUGAAUCGUGAUGUUGGUGUUGCAUUUAUUUUUACCAGUUCUUGGAUAAAAGCUGAAACUUUAAUAUUGAAAAUUCUGUUACUGGAUUGAGUUCUAGAAGUCUGUCAUAUCAUCUUAUGCUUUCUCAAAAUUUUUGUUUCAUGUGUUCAUAACAAACGAUUGUAAAACCCUUCUAAUGUUAUGCAUUUAUAUUUAUUUUUCACAAAUAUAUAUCAAGUAAAAGUGAUCUUUUGCUAUGUCUUUUUUCCUGUUUCUUGUAGGCCGCAUGAAAAUAUGCCUUCGGUUUGGAUUGAGUCGGGAAUGAUACGAAUGAUAUGAUUCCCUCUGCUGACUAUAAGAAGCAUAUUCUAUUUCUCCAUUUGUAUGAGUAAAUUCUAUCAUUUCUUUGAGAUAUAAAAUUAUAAGCUAUGUAUCAAUGUUAUUUUGGACAUUUCAUUUUUAUAGGAAAUGCACUGAUGGUAGCAGCAUGUGCUGCUAUAGUUUCAUAUUUUAACUCUUUAUUGUUUUCCCUACUGAAUUUCCCUUUCAGAUUCAAGUGAUGAUUCAAUAUGAUGACACUGUUGUUAAAUCAAAAUUUAUCUUUUUUAGCCAAGUAGACUGAGUAUUGACAUUUUAAUUAUGUUGCCUAAUUGAUAGUAGUAUUUAUUUGAUGUCUGUCUUCCCCAUGCUAUAAAUAUGACAUAGAAGUUUUAUGAAAGAGACAUAAUGAGAAGUGGAAAAAUGACAAAGAAACAGAGAGAACAAGGCGAUACAUCUAAUAAAGUCGGACAAUGUCACAUUGGACAACAAGAUAGUAGCCUUAGAAAUAAAUAGAUGAAGGAAACAAAUAAUUUACUCAUGAAGUGGUUGUGAAAAUAUAUUGUGGAAGUAGAGGUAAUUUUAAAAACGGUGAUUACAAAAGUGUGGGUUCAAAAAAGUGAAUGGUAUAUAUACAACCUUACAGGGCCAUAUGAAAGUGAAAUUUGGAUAACAUAUAAGAGCAUGUGGACUCUUUUAAACUAAUUAUGUUUUGUUUCAGGUGAUGGAAGAAAAUAGCAUUGGGGCGGCAUGGCACGACAACUGAAGAAGUCACAUACUUCUGUCUUGUAGCACCACGACAUUUAAUGAGUAUUGUAUAAAAUUACUUCAUACCAAACAAAGAAAUCUUCUUUUAAUACAUUGUUUUAGCCGUUACUUAUCCCGUUUCAGUUGGUUCUCUCUAUUUGAUCAGAGGUUCAAUUUAACGGUUUCUUCAAGCUUUGGUUAAUUUAUUUUGUAAGUUAAAAUAUUUUACUUUCGACUAUCUAAUAUUAGUUGAUGUUAUGAUUUUAUCUUCGAAUAGAUUUUUGGAGUCCAUUUAUAUAUAAUUUAGCAGCUUAUGAUGCUUCAUUUUGACAAUCGUGUCGAUCAUAUCCCCCAGAUCCACAAAAGACAUUAUGACCAACAACGGAUUGUCCAAUUAGUAUUAAAAUAAUAUAUUUUUAGGAUGUUAAUGAAAUGUUUUUAACUUCCUUGCUGACUAAUUAUGAAAGAAAGGGGCAAGGUAUUAAGAAUGUAUACGGUGCUACUUCAAUCAAUUAAGUUUUACUUUUUUGGUCAUUAUCUUUAUUUUAUAUGUAAAAUGUGGAUAUGGAUGGAAAGAUUUUAUAUAUGCUCUUUUUUUAUUUGUAGACAUACUUAUAUGUCCAACCAUUUCUUUAGGAAUUUACUCUAAUUGUUCUGUGUCAUGGAAGAUGAAGAGUUACCAAAUCCUUGGUAAUUUACCUUGACUUUGUAUUAAUAUAUACUAUGUGUACUAUUUGACUCCUCUCUGAUUCAAAAACGUUUCGUACACUUGCCAAUUAGAACUUUUGGAUCCUUACUCGCUUUAACAAUUGUAUUGCUGAGUGAGGUAAGUGACCGAGAAAAACAGUCAACUUCUACAAACAGACCUACUUCGGAAAAUGAUUGAUUUCAGAUUCUCUAAUUUUCAAGCCUUCAAGUACAAUUUCACACCCUUUUCAAGCUUUUAAGAUUUGUAGGAAACCAUAGUGUUCUAUGUUGGAUGAUGUUGUAUUAGUAUUUAGUAGUUAUUCUUAGAUAGAAGUUAUGCUUUUAGUAUGAUCUAAAUUUCUUCCGUUAUUUUUGUAUUGUUUGAAUUGCAACUUCUGAUAUAUUAGCAGACUGGCAGACGAUACCAAAACACCAUAGUUUAUCAUAUUCAUAAUUACAAUUGUGGAAUUGAGAGGAUGAUCAUACAAUAGGAGACUAAUGAUGUUUGGAAAUGAUUUAGGUAAUAUUCAUUUACUUAAUGAGUUAUUAUCUGUAUUUUUGACACACAAUAUUUUAUGAAGAAGUUUUCACAUUUUAUGUCAUUAUGCAUGUGAGAUAGGUUUUGCUUUAAGAAAUUGUUGUUCAACUUUUCCUUUAAAUAAGUGAAAUUAUCGUCUCAACUUCAUUUGAAAGUGUCAUGCCCCAAAAUCUUCAAGCACACAAGAAAGAUGAUACAUGCAAAGAGUGAAGAAGAGAGAGAAGCACCCGAAAAAUUUGUGAAUACAAAAUGGGCCUACCCGAAAGAAGAAGAGAAAUAAGGAACUAAAGAGCAAACACGUGUUAAAUAGUCACAUAUGGAUCCAAGUAUAAACUAUAAAGUAGACAUUUCUUAGCUUGUUGCACAAUUUGUAUCCUCUACAUAUGAUAAACAAUGACAUGCUAAUCUUAUAUAUCAAAACUGAAACAUCUGCAUCAUACUGAUGUCUGUUGUACAUAUUCUAAAUAUUUCUAAUAGUAUAUAAUAUAUGAUAUUAUCCNNNNNNNNNNNNNNNNNNNNNNNNNNNNNNNNNNNNNNNNNNNNNNNAAAAUAAAAAUCGAGGCAAUAAUUAUUUUAAAGAAAAAUAUAAUCAAAAUUGUCAGAAAAAAUUGAUAAGAAUAAAUAAGUAUCUAUUACUAAGAAUGGUGUCACUACAUUUUCUAUUUUAACUUUAUUGUUACAUAUGGAUAGAAACUUUUAGAAGAAGAAAUUAUCCAAAAAUUUAAAAAUAAUGAUUCCUUAAAUGGUGAUUCCUUUUCCAUUAUAUAUCCAAAUUAAGUUAAAAUUUACAAUGUCAAUAACUAAAAUAUAAAUUUUUAUUCUUUUUUUUUAAAAAAGAGAACAUUAUAUAUAUUGAUCCAUAUCAUUUAAUGCCAUAAAAUUUCCGUUAAUAAAAUAAAGAGAAUAACAUUCCAUGUGGUGGUCAAUACAUAUUUGGUAUAUGAUGUGACAAUUAUUAAUGAUGGAUUUAAAAUUUAAAUUUUAUAUAUUUGAAACUAACUUAAGUUGCUAAUUAUUGUGAGUUAUAGUACGUUUUAUGUAAUUUUCAUAUAUAUUACUCACUUUGUCCUGAUUUAUGUGAUACAAAUGAAAUUUCAAAAGUCAAUGAAUUUUUUAUAAGUUUCUUAUUAUAUUAACUUGUUAAUUAUUGUGAUUUAUAAUAUAUACUCUAAAUAAAAAUAAUUAGCAACUUAAAAUAUAUAAAAACAUACUAAAAAAUUGAUUAACUUCAAAUUUCAUAUGUACCACAUAAAUUAAAACAGAAACAGUAACAUAUAUUGGGCCCCGUGCUAGCACGGGGUCUCAUAUCUAGUAGUCAAUAUAAGUGUGAGUUAACCUGCUUAACUAUCUCUAUAUAUAUGGUGGAAUUGUUAGGGUAUAUAUAUAUUAGCUAGAGUUUGCAUUUACAACGACAAUAAUAACAACGUAAUCAAUAUAAUUUUACAAGUGAAAUUUAAGAAGGAUAACAAUAAAAUGUUAUUAUUCACCAACUGAACAUUAGAAAAUAUUUUCUUGAAAAACAAGUUGGUUUCUAACUUAUUUUCUUAUGUUUGGUUGAUGAGUGAAAAAUAUUUUUCAGAACAAUUUGUAUCAGCCUAUCAUGAAUCGGGUUUUGAGUCAAGAUUUGAAUUUCGAGUCAAGAUAUGGAGUAAGGAGUUAGAUCCUGAGCAAGAAGUUUUGUCCUGAAUCAGAGUUGGAAAUUAGGGUUGGGGACGAGAUAGGGAGUCAGGUUUCAAGUUGGGGUUGGGAGUGGAGUAAGAGAGUUUUGGAUAGCGUUUUUUUAACUUUAAGUAGGAAAGUCAUAAAUUAGAAAAAUAAACAAUUUCAUUUUAAAACUAUUUUCCAAAACAUUUGGGACAAAGGUGAGAAAAUUGAAGAUCAUACCUAACACACCCUUAAUAAUUAUAUACCUUUUAGAGGUUCCUACAAUGUCCUGCCAUACUUCAAGAGGAGUAUGGUUGGUAGAUACCGAUAUAUAAUUCAUAUUUUAUGAUGAGUAAUAUGAAUCAGAUAUUCAACCAUUUCUCUACACAUGACAAAUAACUACAAAUACUAGAUUUUUAUCUAAUGUUUGCAACAAUUUAAGAAAGCUUAGAUUAAAAUUAUUCCAAUAAUUUUUUUCAUAAAAUUUUCAAUUUGCUUAAAAGAAAUCUUUAGACUAAAAUAAAAAAGAUUCAUAAGUUUCCAAACGAACUAAAAAGAAAACCAUUUACUAAACAGCUAUCCCAAACAGCAUCAACCAGAAAAAUUUAGUCUAGUACUUAGUCUCCUCACUUCCCAAAGAGAAUUUUGAAGAAAUAACAUAACAGAAAAUAAAAAGAUAGCAUCAUAAGCUGGCCUUUGUUCUAAAUUUUUGCACAAGAAAUCUUCAAAUUUCUAGCCAGCUCAAUCUGUUCUUCACUUGUUGUUCCUAUGAUUGCCUGGAAAUUAAAUGGAAAUUUUUUUUAUCAUAUCAAUCAAAAAAAAUAAAAUAAAAUAAUAAUAAUAAUAAUAACAUAUAUAUAUAUAUAUAUAUAUAUAUAUGAUACAAAUGCAGAGAAAAUCAUAUGGAUUUUCAUUCCACCUAUCAGAUUUUGAUGCGUCUAGAUACGUUUAGAUACAUGUAUCUCGCUAUACAUAGGGUCAAAAUUAGGUGUAACUUGUUCUAGAUACACUGUAUCCAAGUGAAUACACAUGUAUCUAGAUACAUAACAAAUCUCGUUCGCCUCCCUCCCAUCUCGCUCUCACUCUCUUAUGUAUCUAGUAUCCUAGAUACAUGUAAAUCACACUAGUACAUACAAAUACAUGUAUGUGAUUCGCGUGCAUCUGUGAUACAAAUCAAUCAGAUUUUGGUACGUCUACAUAUACAUGUAUCUUCUUAUACAUGGGAUCAAAAUUAAGUGUAAUUUAUUUUAAAUACAUUGUAAAGAAGUGGAUUCACAUGUAUUUGGGUGCAUAACAAAUAUUGCUCCUUGCUCGCGUCCCUUUCAUCUCUCUCGCCACCUUUUUAUGUCUCUAGUAUUGUCCCAGAUAUAUGUGAAUCACACUAGAUAUGUUCAUAUACAUUCUAUUGUGUGUCUAGUGUGAUUUGCGUACAUUUGUGAUACAUAACUAUCUCGCUCGCCUCCCUCCACAUCUCGCUCACCUCCCUCCCUCUCUAUGUUAGUGUAUCUGAUAGCAAAAAUAUAAUAUUUCAUAUGAUCAUUCUAUGUUACUCAACUAUUAGUAUUUUACUUAGAAAGUUACUCAACUAUUGGUAUUUCAUAGAGGUGUCAAAUGAGGCAAAAUAUAGUUAACCCACACAACUCACUCAGAAUUUUAUGGGUUAGACUCAAGAUAAUUUAAAUUGGGCUCAAUCUCAACUCAUUCAAGCCUUAACCCAUUUUAAAAGAAUCUUCAAUUGAGCCCAAUUUAAUCUCCAAUUCCAACAUGUUUUAAAACUCUUUAUUUUGCAUUGGUGUAAUGUAUAUUCUCAUAUUAAGGUAUAAUUCCUAUCUAUUUAUAUCUUCUAGGAUUUAUCUAUUCACUUGUAAAAAAAAAAUUGAGUUGAAAUUCAAAUUGUGAUUAUAAAAUGUAAAUAACAAUACGUUAAAAUUAUUGAAAUUAAGCGGGUCAUGACCCAACCCAAUUUUUAGCCCAUUUGAGCCCAAUUCAUUUGAGCUCAAGUAAAUUUAGGCGGGUCAUAACCCAACUAAAUUUCUAUUCAACCCAUUUUAAUAUCUCCAAUUUCAACCUAGUGCGCCCAUUUGACACCCCUAGUAUUUCACUUAGAAAGUCACUCAACUAUUGAUGUUUCACUUAAAAAGUUACCCAACCAAUUUAAAUGUGUCCAAAAAAUGGUGAGACUUCACGUACUGCUCACCCAACUGCCUACGGAUCAACGCCAUUUGGCUCUCUCCUAGAUGAGAGAUCAAAGCUACCAGGUUUAGUUAUUUUGCGACAUCUGCAAAAAUAGCACAGAGUUGCUUCGACUCAGCGAAGGGUUCCUUAAAGAUUUUACAAAAAAAUCGUCUAGAAGUUAUAUCACCAAAAUAUUCAUGGGUUAUAACCAAUGGCAGAUCCAGGAUUUUAAGGUUGUGGGUGCUCCUUUAGCUAUCAAUCACAAAAUUUAAGUGCACAAAUUUAACACUUGUUUUAAGAAGGCAUAAUACAUAAAUUGGACCCUAAACUUGGCUUCAAAUUUUAGUAUGACCUCUAACUUUCAUAGUGCACAAGUAAGCACUUUACCUAUCCAAUUCUUAAACAAAGAAACACGCGAAUCCAACAACCAAAUUGUGUGAUAUACAAACGCUCCUACAUGGCAUAUUGAGCCACUCAGUGGCUGCCACGUAAUUUAAAAAAUUACACGUAUUUUAUAAUUAAAAAAAAGAAGAAAUUAAAAUACAAAAGGGUAGGGUCGUAUUUCUUUUCCCAAUUUGCUCGAUUUUCACUCAACAUCAGCGGAGCCCUAGCCCUAAUUUCUUUGCAAAUCAAAGUAAAAUUGUGAAGAUUUGUGGUCAAAGCUAAGUUCUUAUCUUUUGGAUGUUUAUGUGUUGUUCUUCCUCAAUUUAGUCUGGUUAUGUUAAUUUUUGCUUUUUGAAAGUUUAUUUUUGGUAGAAACUGUCACCAUGAAUGCAAAUUCACUUUUUUUUAUAUCUGAAUUAUUUGCAGACCAAGAAAUCUUCAUUAUAGCUCUUUUUACACAAUGACAAAAAAAAUUAGAAGCCAUUACAUAAAAAACGACCAGAAAUUGUGCACAAAAAGAGAAAAAAAGCUUGAGUACUAGAAUUAGGAAGAAGAAGAAGAAAAAUGGGAUUUUGAUUUGAAAAAAAUAAAGAUAUAUUUAAAAGGGAUUCAUUAAGGGUAAAAUUGUCAUUUCCGCUUCUUUUUUUUUUACUGUUGUGGGCCUCGAAAAAUACCCCUGACGUGCCUAAAUUGCGUCUCAAUCACGCGUUAUGCCAGGUUGGAUUCGCGUGUUUUUGUUUAAGAAUUGGAUAGUUGAAGUGCCUACUUGUGCACUUUGAAAGUUUGAGGUCAUACUUAAAAUUUGAAGCCAAGUUUAGGGUCCAAUUUAUGUAUUAUACCUUUUAAGAAAGACAAUCAUAUUUAAAUAUGACGGUGAAGAAGUCAAUAAAAGAAACUACAAUAAAAAUUAUUUCGGAUAAAGAAAAAAUAUUUUUUUAAUAAAAAUUUGUUUAGAAAAAGUUAACAAAAGGGAAAAAAGAACAACCAGCAUAGAGAGAAAAUUAGAUUAAUGGUUCAUUCGAUCAAUAUUUCUUGUCCAAAAUAAUAUAAUUAUUAUUUUUAAUUUUUCAUUCGGUGUCUGAUAUCCAUCUUGGAGUUCGACUAAAUUUAAAUUCAUACUAAAAAGCUUCAUAUUACGAGGUAAAACACUCCUUUAAUAAAAGUGACUCUGUACUCCGGAACGGAUCUAUGCAGUUGGGGGAGAGGGGGAACAACCAAGGCUAAUUAAAAAAUGGUCAUGAAUAAUAUCAUAUGCAUUAUAACCAAAACGGCAUUUGAGUUUGUGGAUUUUGCCCUAGAUAUUAAUAAAAUUAGCAACAAAAAAAAACUAUAAGGUUGAUCUCAGAUUUAAAUUUCAGUAAAGAUAAUAAAUUGUAAUCCUUUGUUUUAUUAUAUACUUGGAGUUUGCAUUAAAAGUUAAAUUUUCAUUUUACUUGUCCAUUCUAGCAAAUCAGGAGAGUUUUUUUUUCCAUACUACCUUUAAUAUUAAAUAACUACAUAAAGUAGUAGUAAGUCAAAUUUAAAGUUCUGAAACAUCAUUAAUAAUAUUAGUUUAGUCGACUUUCUUAAAGGUUGUGUCAAGUAAUAUGAAAUAGAGGUUGUUAUAAAUAAUUUCUUCCCAUCUGCCUCUAACUUUGGUGGAUAGAGAUACUUUAUAUGUGUGUUGAUGGGAGGUAGCAAAUAGGGGUGAAUCUAAUUAAGAAGGGGAGAGAGUGUUCACCCCACUCCAACUCCCUCAGUAAAAAAUUACACUAUGGGCGUGUUUGGUAUGAAGGAAAACAUUUUUCGAAAAAUGUUUUUCAAUUUUCUCAUGUUUGGUUGGGUUAAAUGUUUUCAAAAUGUUUUCAAAAUCAACUCAUUUUCCUCAAAUUUAUGGAAAAUGACUUCCCUUCAAAACUUAAGGAAAACAUUUUCCAAAACUCUCUUCCAACUUCAAAUUACAAUUUUUCUUUUGUCCUUAUCCUUAAAUCACCCCCCNNNNNNNNNNNNNNNNNNNNNNNNNNNNNNNNNNNNNNNNNNNNNNNNNNNNNNNNNNNNNNNNNNNNNNNNNNNNNNNNNNNNNNNNNNNNNNNNNNNNNNNNNNNNNNNNNNNNNNNNNNNNNNNNNNNNNNNNNNNNNNNNNNNNNNNNNNNNNNNNNNNNNNNNNNNNNNNNNNNNNNNNNNNNNNNNNNNNNNNNNNNNNNNNNNNNNNNNNNNNNNNNNNNNNNNNNNNNNNNNNNNNNNNNNNNNNNNNNNNNNNNNNNNNNNNNNNNNNNNNNNNNNNNNNNNNNNNNNNNNNNNNNNNNNNNNNNNNNNNNNNNNNNNNNNNNNNNNNNNNNNNNNNNNNNNNNNNNNNNNNNNNNNNNNNNNNNNNNNNNNNNNNNNNNNNNNNNNNNNNNNNNNNNNNNNNNNNNNNNNNNNNNNNNNNNNNNNNNNNNNNNNNNNNNNNNNNNNNNNNNNNNNNNNNNNNNNNNNNNNNNNNNNNNNNNNNNNNNNNNNNNNNNNNNNNNNNNNNNNNNNNNNNNNNNNNNNNNNNNNNNNNNNNNNNNNNNNNNNNNNNNNNNNNNNNNNNNNNNNNNNNNNNNNNNNNNNNNNNNNNNNNNNNNNNNNNNNNNNNNNNNNNNNNNNNNNNNNNNNNNNNNNNNNNNNNNNNNNNNNNNNNNNNNNNNNNNNNNNNNNNNNNNNNNNNNNNNNNNNNNNNNNNNNNNNNNNNNNNNNGCCAGCCCCCCCGCCUCCCACUCAAAAAAUAUUUAAGUUUGUUUUUGAAAAUAUAUUCAAUUUCAAAAAUUAUUUUCUACUUUAAUAAAAAUAAAAGAUAUUUCUCAAAAAUAUUUUUCAUUCAUAAAUCAAAACACUAAAAAUCUUUUCCAGAAAAUAUUUUCUAUUCACCAACCAAACAUGAAAAAGUAAAUAAAAAAUCUACUUGUUUUCCAGAAAAACAUUUUCCUUCAUGCCAAACACACCCUAUAUGUAUAAUAAAAGAUAACAUCAUUAUUGUACGAAAAAUGGUAUAAACAAACAAAACACAUUAAACGUGUUUUUCACAUAUAUGAGCAAAAUCUUGUCUAUAAAAUGAAGGGAUAUUAGCAAGGAAGGAUAAAUCAUCAAAACAAAAAAAAAAGUCCCUAAAGAUGAAGAUCAUACUACUACUCUUUGUUUCCCUUGCAAUAUCCCUUCCCUUAGCAACUUGCAACAACAACCAACUAUUGGUAGAUGUACUCGAUAUCGAUGGUAAACCCCUCAAUGCAAGCAGUAGGUACUACAUGAUUCCGCCCCACCACUCCAUUGAGGACGGAGGCAUGAGCCUAGCUGAUCUUGGGGAUCAACAACAAAACACUUGUCCAACAUCGGUUGUGGAAUCUCUAGAUGUUGCAGACUAUGGUAUUGGAGUUUAUUUUGUACCUAAAAAUCCCAAUUACAAAAAGAUUGUGGAGUCCUCUCCGCUAAACAUCAAAUUUUAUAUUGAUUCUUUAAAUUCGUGUACUGACCUAAUGGUGUGGAAGGUCGAUAACAUUGGUAAACUUGUGCCGCAACAUGGGCAUACCAUAAGCACGGGUGCAAAGUUGGGAAAUCCUUUCGAUGUGAGCAGCUGGUUCCAAAUUAAACAUGUUGCUCGUUAUAGUUAUAAGCUAGUGUUCUGUCUCGACAUAGAAUGCUACAACAUUGGCACCGUUAGACAAAAUGGAUAUAAUCGUUUAGUUCUCGCGGAGAACCCAAUGGUGUUUAACUUCAAACUGCAUCCUCCCUAUGGAAAGGCCCAAGCAUAUUGAUCGUUGUCAUAUAUUAUAUAUAUGCCUCGAUUUGCUCUCAAGUAAAAUUACGACUAUGUAAUGUGUAAUAAGGACCUUAGUCCAAAUAAUAAUAAUGUAAUGUAUGGCCUACUUAAGUGCCAAUGCAUACUUUUAUCUUUGAUGUUUUAUAAUUUCUUAGCCUUCUUCAAAAUAAAAUAAAGAAUUCAAGCUUUCAACAUAUCGUCCAAAAUUUGUAUGGUACAUUUAGACGGUAUGUCUCUUGUGGAUGAAAUGCUUACUAAGAUCUACUCGUAUAUCUAAUGCUUCUUGAAAUUUUUUCCAAAAGCAUGAAGUGAAUUGUGAUCCUCUCUCAGAGAUGAUAUAUGGUUGUUACAUACUAUCUCAUAAAGUAUCGUAUUGUAUUGUAUCGUACCCUAUUAUUUUAAUGAAUACAAUAUUUGGAUAGAUUGUAUCGUUCUCUGUCCUUACAUAAGUCACACAUUCAUAGUUUGAAUGAUAAGGAUACAAAAAAGGUAAGGUACAAGGUAGAACUACAAUGAAAAUAUAGGGUAAAAGAUGAAAUAUAAUAAAUAAAGAUUAAAUGAGAAGAAAAUAUUAAAACGAUGCGAUCACACCAAAUUGAUCGUUACAUGAAAUGAGUCUUUUCGCCAUUACAUAAUAAUGAAUUUAAACGACACGAUACAAUAGAAUUGAAGUAUUGUUGUGCUAUUUAUAUGUCCCACAAGAUUGUGUGCACAAAAGAUGUAGAGUAUAGUUAUUAUAUACAGAAAACUAGAUGCAACCCUGGUCUCUUUCUUCUUGUGUGUUUGUCUCUAGUUUUAUAGUCAACUUGCUUCUUUUUAACUUCACGGAGAUUCCAUUUUUGCUUCCAAAGUGUGAAUGCAAAUAAAGAGAGAAUAAAGAGAAUGGUCAGAAGAAUCGACUUGAAACAAUAUUGAAUUUCCAAGUAAAAUUGUAUAACAAUCCAAAACACGAAAACUUUACUCGUCUUGCAAUUGGUAAUUUUCAACCAAAUUCAAAACAGUCAAGUCACACAAUACAUGUCUUUUCAGUACAAAAUUAAUUCUCAAAUUCAAACAGAUUCGAACUAUAGAAAAUUAACGGUGUUCGAGUAAUUUUUAUUUAUGCACACCUCGAGUGAUUCCACCCGAUACAUGCUACCUCUUACUAAUAACAACUAACUAACAACAAGUACUUUUAUCUUUAGUGAAAUUUAAACAUGAAACUCAUUAUUCUCAAUUCAUUUUAUCAACCACUUGAUAAACCCUUAAACUUUAGUGAUUUAAAACAGCCAAAUGACAUAAAUUCUUUAAUUUUUAACAAUAAACAAAGUCAACCAGGCACACUGUCAGCCAAAUAGGACUGAUAAUAAUUAAUUAUAUAUAUCGGCCAAAAUUACUUUUAAUAUUCCCAUUUUCCUAAAUUACUUUCCAUCAGUAAAAGAUAGACAAGUGAAAUAUUCUCCUUAUAAAAUUCCUCGACUCAUUAUUAAUCAGAGGUCAUGAAUUUGCGAAGCAAUUUUUUUUUAAUAGAAUUUACUUCUCAUUUACAGAACUCUACAUGACAUGAAUUUAAAUUAAUCAGAUAAAUUAGUUCUAGAUAAUGAUUAAUCAUAUAAAAAAGAUAUCAUAUAUGUAUUAAAUGUGUUUUAUAAAAUAAAUAAAGAACACAUGAUCAACAAAGGAAGCUAUAUAUGUAACAAGUCAAAUUAGUACCACAUUAAAAAAAUACUCCAUAGAAAUCUUUCAAACAACAUGCCUUUUGUACCUAUAAAAAAGCAGCUCUUCUUUAAUUCCACUAAAAGCAUUAUCUUAUACAAAAAAAAAAUAUGAAGGCUUUCACUAAACUCUACCUUUAUUUCAAUGAACUUAUCACCACUUUCUUUUAUUCAUGGUUACCUAAUUUAUUAAAAUUCAUCAUGUUAGCAACUUUUGCUUUUUUGAAUUCAUAUAGACAAAGACAACUAGAGAGAAAUAGGUACAAGGAUAAUAUAGAUGAGAAGAGCUCCAAAUUUGUUUAUAGAAGAAUUAGAUGUUUAAAUAGAGAUGAAGAAUCACUUGAAUGCGCGAUUUGUUUAUCAGAAUUCAAAUAUGGAGAUAAAGGGAGAAAGCUUAACAAUUGUAAUCAUAUGUUCCAUGAAAGUUGUUUGGAGAAAUGGCUAAUGCAUGGGAAAGGGCAAUCAACAUGUCCACUUUGUAGAAAUGUUGUAAUAUCUGAAAAUGUGUUUGAGAAACAUAUGAAAGCUGAAGAUGAAAGAAGUAGGAACAAUGCAUUUGAGGAAGAGUUGGCUAUAUUGUUGCUAUCGACGUUGAAAGGUAGUCGUUUUUGUCAGUAGCGGAUGUAGAAUUGUUAUUCAGUGAUAUAUAUGUAAGAACAAAUGUAUCUUAUAUAUAAUGUGAAUAUUUGACGAAUUAGAUUAUUCGAAUGAGCCCCUUAGUUCCGCCCUUACUACUCCAUGUAUUUAUUUAUUUUUACUUAUAAGAAAAUAAUUAAAGAAAAAAUAAUGUCUCUUAAAUUGCAAUCAAAUUUUAUUUUAUAGUAAAUAAUCGCUUCUAAAAAAAUGAGAGUUAGCUAUGAGUUUCAUCGUUAUUUCUUUUAUAGCUAAUAAAAAUUUGUCACUAAAUAAGAAUAACGACAAAUUUUAUUGUUUAACUACAAAAUUUAUUAUCGUUAAAUUCAGCUUUUUUUAAUAGUGAAUCUUCCUCAAGAUUGAUCAAAAUAAGUUUAAUAUAUGGUGAUGUAUUUUGAUCAAAUAGAAAGUACAAACAGGGCUGAAUAUAAACUUUGUGAUGACAUAUUUAAGUAUUAUUACCAAUAAGACCACCCUUAAGGCUCACAAAAACUGAUAAUUAAUUAUGAUAAAAGAAAUCAGAUUUUAAAAAAAAAAUUAAAUCAAAUAACAUUCAUACAUGUGAGAUUUGAUCUAGACAUAUCAACUAUAUUCCUACUACUACCAGAGACCAAAGCUUUAAUUAUUUUUUAAUUGUUUUUUUGAUGUUGUAGCUUGAAGGUAUAAAAAAUAUUUCAAAUCUCAAGUAAUUAUAAACAUUUUAUUGCAUUAUCAUUAUAUUUUAAUUUAUUAUAUGUUGAAGUUACCAAGGAGCUUCCUUUUCGAGACUUGUAAUAUUUUAAAAUAAAAUGAUAAUUAUGUCCCAUUUCAUUUAAAUGCCUACAUGAUAAUUGCUAUUCCCUCUAUUUAUUUUUACUUAUUUAUAUUUGAUUUUUUUAUCUCUUUAAAAAUAAUUAAUAAAAUAAUAAAUUUACUAUACUAUCUUUUAAAUAUGAUAAAUGUAGUAUUUUGAAAAAUAAUUAUAAUUAAUAAUGAAGAUAGAUAGGAAUUAUAUGAUAAACUCUAUAUUCUUGAUUUGUUUAGAGGAUAAAUAAAAGUAAAUUGAUAAUUUUAAUAUAAUAAACAAAUAAUUGAUGGUGCUAUUGUCUUUUUUUUCCUACUAUCUUUGCUUGCCAGGAAACCCCAUUUAUAUCCAAAGAAAUGUUUCUUUAUCGUGUAUGUUGACCACAAGGAAACAUCACUAUUUAGUAGUUCUAACAAAUUAAAAUAAGCCAACUUUUCAAAUAUUUUCUCCGUCUCAAUUUACGUGAUACUGUUUAUCUUGGCACAAUAUUUAAUUUUGUAGUCAAAAUUCUAAAAUACUCUUUGACCAUUAAUUGUGUGACUAUACAACAUUUCAUUAAGGAUAAAAGGAGAAUAAUGAAGUUAAAUUGUUUUUAAUUAUAAAAAUGUGACAUUCUUUGUUAUAAGAAAAAGAAGACCAACAAGCUGGUGUGUGGUGCGUUGAUUGAGAUUUCUUCAUUAUUUUGUAUUUGAAUUUUGAAAAUAAAAAAAAGUUCAAAAAUGUUAAUUUCUCUGGUAAUUAAGAAGAGUUUCAUCUUCCUUAGCAUAUGCGAUUGACACGAUGCUGGAUUAGUUGGAUCAGUAAUUUCGAAUACUAAAUGGUUAAACUUUUAAAAAAAAAUGAAAAAACCUAAGUUUGUAGACAUGGUCAAAUUUAGGAAAAUACUUGGUCACCAAGUACAUGGACCAUAGUCUAACCAAAUGAUGACAAUAUUCUCACAGUUUCCUUGCUACCCAAGCAGGCCAGGGAUAUUAUUAUUAGUUUUAGUAUAAAUAAUUAAAUAGAAGAAACAAUAAUGUAACAACUAUCAAUAUUAGUAAAUACUUCAAUUUGUUGAAAACAUAGAGCAUCCAUGGCACAAGUUGCUGAAAUUCAUGUCAUGCAAAACCUUCAUAAGGAGAAGAUGAAAAUGACAUCGAAAAUCGAAACGGCUAACAAGAAAUUGGUUGGUGAGGAAGAUAACAAGACUUGUAGUUCUGGAAAAUGUAAUUCUUGGUUAGGGAAGAAAGUUAGUUGUGUUACUAGACAAUUGCUUAGUAGUGCAAGGAGCAAACCUGUAAUUUGUGAUAAUUAUAAAGAUAGUACAUAAUAGUAAAAAAUGACUAUGUAAUAGUUUUCUAUUAGUGUAAUUGUUAAAGUGAUCCUUAAUUUUGAUUUCUGAAUAAACAAAAUUCAUUUUCUUGUCAAACUCACAAUUAUACUUUCCUUUUAUAUAUUUGUCUUACUUCGAGCUAGGCAUAAUAUAUAAAUAUUACAUUCAAACUUGACCUCAUGAGUCAACAAGUACGCACUUUAACUUUGAGAGGGCACAUCUAGACCCGACACCCCACCCCGUCACGAUCCUGACCCUGACCUCGACCUCGACCUGGGAACCUACUCUCAUUACCGACACCCAAUUAACCUAACUCGGCGACUCCAAUCUGAGACCAUACCAUCGACCUCGACUUGAGACUCAAUUCUUGACCUCAACCCCAAACUCGACUCUUGGUCCCCACUCCGACUUCUGAACUCGACUCUAAACGCUGACUAGGGACCCAACUCUCAAUUCCAACCCCGAUCUUAGAUCUGACUCAACCCCAACCCGAGACUUAAAGACCUAAAAUUUGACCUCAAUCCAGGACCCGAUUCAUAAUUCCAACACCGACUCACGAUGCCCCGACACUAAACCCUAAUUUAGGACAUGGACUUGGGACACAACUGUCCAUCCCGACCUGAGAACCGACUCUUGACCCCAACUUGGGUUCUCGACUACAGACCGUGAUAGAGGACCUGACACCCAAACCGGCCCCAAUUUCUGAAUCUCAACUCCGGGAUCUGACCCCGAUUCUCGACUCUAGACCUUGAAUCUCGACCCCGGUCCCCACCCUAGCUCAAUUUGGAAAUCGUGUCCCAAGUCAAGAUCGGAUCUCGGGUCCAGAUGGGAGUAGGUGAUGAGGUUGAAAGAGAGUUUUGAAAAAUGCUCAAGUCUAUAUGAAAAACAUUUAAACCAACCAAAUAUAAAAAAAAUUAGAAAAUAUUUUCCUUUGUACCAAACACAGCCUAGGCUCUGCAAUAAUUCUCCAUAACAUUAUUUAGUUUUAUAUUCCAGUUUUGCCAAUUUACACAAUACAAUAUGCAAUUAGCAUAUCACCAUUAGACCUCAUCAAUCAUAUAACUAAGAUAAACAAAUUAGUAGAAACAGGGCUUUUGAAAAUAUUUUUUAAUUUUUCCAUUAUCUUGAUGGUGCACUAGUAGUACCAUAAGUGUUACUAUUAUGUUAUUCAAAAUACACACUUCAUUAGUGGUCCUAACCAAAGAAUUAAUCCUUAGUCAAAUGUUACUUCGCCUCCAAGGUCGUCAAAAAAUUUGUUUCUAAGUGUUCUUAUUUUUUGGUUAAUAAUAUUAUUAAACUCUGCAAUCAUGAAAAAAUAAUUUCUCACUAAACUUCAAUUUUUUGAUGUAAUAAUUGAAAUUCCUUCACUUUUUACUAAGGUCUUUGGGUUCGAGUUUUGAAGGGAAACAAAUUAGUCGUAAAAGUUUCACCUUCUUUAGUGGGCUUAUCCGACAUGAUACUAGAUUAGUCAGAUUAGUGAAUUUCACGUACCAAAUUAUUUUUUAGAAAAAGGACCUAAGUUGUAAACAUGGUCAAUUUUAAGAAAAUACUUGGUCUCCAAGUACAUGGACCAAAGUCUAACCAAAUGAUGACAAUAUUCUCACAGUUCCCUUGCUUUCCAAGUAGGCAAGGGGUACUAUAAAUAAAUAGAAGAAACAAUAAUUUCACAAACAACUAUCAAUAUUAGUAAAACUAGUACUUUCACUUUGUUGAAAACAUAGAGCAUCCAUGGCACAAGUUGCUGAAAUUCAUGUCAUGCAAAAACUUCAUAAGGAGAAGAUGAAGACAACAUCGAAAAUCGAAACGACUAACAAGAAAUUGGUUGUUGAUGAAGAUAACAAAACUUGUAGUUCUGGGAAAUGUUGUUCUUGGUUAGGGAAGAAAGUUAGUUGUGUUACUGGACAAUUGCUUAGUUGUGCAAGGAGAAAACCUGUAAUAUGUGAUUAUAAAGAUAGUACAUAAUAGUCAAAAAUGACUAUGUAAUUAUUUUCUACUAGUGUAAUUGUUUGAUUGUUAAAGUGAUCAUUAAUUUUAAUUUUUGAAUGAACAAAAUUCAUGUUCUUGUUAAACUCACAAUUGUAACAUGUUAUAGAAGCCAAUUUUGUCUAGUCUAGAGUCUCACUUUAACUCGGUACUUUGCUUUUAUAUAUUUGUCUUACUUCGAGUUAGGCAUAAUAAAUAAAUAUUACAUUCAAACUUGAGGUCAUGAGUUAGCAAGUACGCACUUCAACUUUGAGAGGGAACAUCUAGACCCGACUCCCCACCUCGCCGCGACCCUGACCCCUACCUCGACCUGGGAACCGACUCUCAUUACCGAUAACCAAACCUGACUCAGUGGCUCCAAUCCGAGACCAUACCAUCGACCUCGACCUGAGACUUGAGACUCAAUUCUUGGCCUCGACCCGAGACUCGACUCUUGGUCCCGACCCCGACUUCUGAACUCGACUUUUGACCCUAACUAGGGACCCAACUCUCAAUUCCAACCCUGAUCCUAUAUCUGACACCCAACCCCAACCCACGACUUGAGACCUAAAAUAUGACCUCAAUCUAGGACCUGAUUCCUGAUUCCAACACUGACACGAGACGCCCCGACUCUGAGCCCUAAGUUAGGACUUGGAAUUGGACACAACUAUCCAUCCCGACCCGAAAACCGACUCCUGACCCCAACUUGAUUCCCGAUUGCAGACUGUGAUAGAGGACCUGACACCCAAACCGACCCUGAUUUCUGAAUCUCAACUCCGAGAUCCGACCCCGCGUCUCAACUCCAAACCCUAAAUCUCGACCCCGGGCCCCACCCUGGCUCAGAAAAUAUUUUAAAAUUUUUUCCAUAAUCUUGUGGGGUCAUUUCAUAAUCUUGAUGGUGCACUAGUAGUACCAUAAGUGUUACUAUUAUAUUAUUCAAAAUGCACACAUCAUUAGUGGUCUUAACCAAAAGAAUUAAUCCUUAGUCAAAUGUUACUUCGCCGCCAAGGUAGUCAAAAAAAUUGUCCAAGUGCUCUUAUUUUUUUGUUAAUAAUAUUAUUAAACUCUACAAUCAUGAAAAAUUAAUUUCUCGCUAAACUUCAAUUUUUUGAUGUAAUAAUUGAAAUUCCUUCAUUUUUUACUAAGGUCUUUGGGUUCGAGUUCUGAAGGAAAAAAAAUUAGUAGUAAAAGUUCCACCUUCCUUAGUGGGUUUAUCCGACAUGAUACUAGAUUUCACGUACCAAAUUUUAUUUUUUAGAAAAAGUACCCAAGUUGUAAACAUGGUCAAUUUUAGGAAAAUACUUGGUUUCCAAGUACAUGGACCAAAGUCUAACCAAAUGCUGACCAUAUUCUCACAGUUCCCUUGCUUUCCAAGUAGGCAAGGGGUAGUAUAAAUAAAUAGAAUUGAAACAAUAAUUUCACAAACAACUAUUAAUAGUAGUAACUAGUAAUUUCACUUUGUUGAAAACACAGAGCACCCAUGGCACAAGUUGCUGAAAUUUAUGUCAUGCAAAAACUUCAUAAGGAGAAGAUGAAAACGACAUCGAAAAUCGAAACCACUAACAAGAAAUUGGUUGGUGAGGAAAAUAACAAGACUUGUAGUUCUGGGAAAUGUUGUUCUUGGUUAGGGAAGAAAGUUAGUUGUGUUAUUAGACAAUUGCUUAGUAGUGCAAGGAGCAAACCUGUAAUUUGUGAUAUUUAUAAAGAUAGUACAUAAUAGUCAAAAAUGACUAUGUUAUGAUUUUCUACUAGUGUAAUUGUUUGAUUGUAAAGUGAUGCUUAUUUUUUAUUUUUGAAUAAACAUAAUUCAUUUUCUUGUCAAACUCACAAUUGUAACAUGCUAUAGAAGUCAAUUUUGUCUAGUCUAGAGUCUCACUUUAACUCAGUACUUUCCUUUUAUAUAUUUGUCUUAUUUCGAGGUAGGCAUAAUACCUCAUGAGUUAGCAAAGCAUGCACUUCAACUUUGAGAGAACAUCUAGACCCGACUCCCCACCUCGUCGUGACAAUGACCCGACCUCGACCUCGACCUUGACCUGGAAACCGACUCUCAUUACCGAUACACAAACCUGACCCGAUGGCUCCAAUCGAGAGCAUACCAUCGACCUCAACCUGAGACUUGAGACUCAAUUUUUGACCUCAACCCAAGACUCGACUCUUGAUCCCGACCCCGACUUCUGAACUCAACUCUUGACCCUGACUAGGGACCCAACUCUCAAUUCCAACCCCGAUUCUAGAUCUGACUCCCAACCCCAACCCCAACCCGAGACUUGAGACCUAAAACUGACCUUAAUCAAGGACCCGAUUCCUGAUUCUGACACCUACUCGGGAUGCCUUGACUCUAAACCCUAAUUUAGGAUCUGGACUUGGGACACAACUGUCCAUCCCGACCCGAGAACCGACUCAUGACCUCAACUUGAGUCCCGACUGCAGAUCGUGAUAGAGGACCUGACACCAAAACCGACCCCAAUUUCUGAAUCUCAACUCCGAGAACUGACCCCGAGUCUCAACUCCAAACCCUGAAUCUCGACCCCUGGCUCCACCCUGGCUCAGUUUGGGAGUCGUGUCCCCAGUCAAAGUCGGAUCUCGGGUCAAAUGGGAGUAGGUGAUGAGGUUGAAAGAGAGUUUCAAAAAAUGCUCAAGUCUAUGUGAAAAAACAUUUAAACCAACCAAACAUGAAGAAAAAAAAUUAGAAAAUGUUUUUCUUCGUACCAAACACAGCCUAGUCUCUGCAAUAAUUCUCCAUAACAUUAAUUAGUUUUAUAUUCCAGGUUUGCCAAUUUACACAAUACAAUAUGCAAAUAGCAUAUCACCAUGAGACCUCAUCAUUCAUAUACUAAGAUAAACAAAUUAGUAGAAACAGGGAUUUUGAAAAUAUUUUUUAAUUUUUCCAUAAUCUUGUGGGGCCAUUUCAUAAUCUUGAUGGUGCACUAGUAGUACCAUAAGUGUUACUAUUAUAUUAUUCAAAAUACACAUAUCAUUAGUGGUCCUAACCAAAAGAAUUAAUCCUUAGUCAAAUGUUACUUACUUCGUCGCCAAGGUCGUCAAAAAUUUUGUUUUAAGUGUUCUUAUUUUUUUGUUAAUAAUAUUAUUAUAACUUUGCAAUCAUGAAAAAUUAAUUUCUCACUAAACUCUGAUUUUUGAUGUAAUAAUUGAAAUUCCUUCACUUUUUACUAAGAUCUUUUUGGGUUCGAGUUCUGAAGGGAAAAAAAUUAGUAGUAAGAGUUACACCUUCCUUAGUGGACUUAUCCGACAUGAUAUUAAAUUAGUCAGAUUAGUGAAUUCCACGCACAAAAUUAUUUUUAUAAUUUUAGAAAAAGGACCUAAGUUGUAAUCAUGGUCAAUUUUAGGAAAAUACUUGGUCUCCAAGUACAUGGACCAAAGUCUAACCAAAUGAUGACAAUAUUCUCACAGUUCCCUUGCUUUCCAAGUAGCCAAGGGGUAGUAUAUAAAUAAAUAGAAGAAACAAUAAUUUCACAAACAACUAUCAAUAUUAGUAAAACUAAUACUUUCACUUUGUUGAAAAAACAUAGAGCACCCAUGGCACAAGUUGCUGAAAUUCAUGUCAUGCAAAAACUUCAUAAGGAGAAGAUGAAAGACGACAUCGAAAAUCGAAAACGACUAACAAGAAAUUGGGUUAAGUGAUGAAGAUAACAAAACUUGUAGUUCUGGGAAAUGUUGUUCUUGGUUAGGGAAGAAAGUUAGUUGUGUUACUGGACAAUUGCUUAGUUGUACAAGGAGCAAACCUGUAGUAUGUGAUUAUAAAGAUAAUACAUAAUAGUCAAAAAUGACUAUGUAAUGAUUUUCUACUAGUGUAAUUGUUAAAGUGAUCCUUAAUUUUGAUUUUUGAAUAAACAAAAUUCAUUUUCUUGCCAAACUCACAAUUGUAACAUGCUAUAAAAGCCAAUUUUAUGGCGUGUAAAAACAAAUUCUUUAAAAAUGAGAAAAAUGACUUUCCAGUAAAAAUAGAAAAAACAAUUUUCCAAAGUUACAUUCCAUAUUAAUUGUGUCCUUUCCUCCCUUGGCUCCUCACUCCCCGACACCCCACAUCUUCACCCCACCAUCAUAGCCCCAUAGCCUCUCAUAGUAUUUGUCGUAUUUGUCUAGAUUACAUGCAAAUGUUUUUCAAGUAUAUUUGCUCAGUGAAUUCUUCGAGUUAAUUUCACAGACAGUCACUCAACUAAAACAACUUUCAUCAUAGAAAGUCACUCAAUUUCAUUUUGUAACAUAAACAUCUCUCAACAGUUACUCAACUAACAACUUCUGUCACAAAAAGUCACUCAACUUUGUUUUGAACACAAAUGUCACUUAACUAAUGAUAAAUAUCUCAGUCACUCAAUUAUUGUCAUUUCACCUACAAAGUCACCCAACCAAUUCAGACAAUAUUUUCGAUAGAUAUUGAUGACGUCAGAUUUCUUUUUCUUUCACAAAAAAGUGUUUCCCUUUCUGUAGUUCUAGCAUAUAUACCAAGAGACUACAUGGUAUCCCUUCAUUCUGAAUCAAAAAAUCAGGAGCAUAAUGGUAUCUUUAUCUUCAAACUUUUCAUAUUUUUACAUCUUUUUUCUUCUUUUUCACUAAGUUUUACUUUUAGGAUACUUGUUAAUGCAUCCAAAAGACUCUCCAACUGAAAAUUAUAUAGCACCAUGAAAUAUAACAAAAGUGGAACAAUUCCAUUACUGAAUUACAAGAUUGUACAAGCACACCCGCCUUUUUUAAGGGAAUCGUCCUUCAGCUUAUCUGUGACAAAUGUGUAAACAAAAAUUAUUCAGUACGCUUUCAUAAGAUAAGAACAAAAUAAUCAAAUCCAUGGCUUGAGAUUCGAGAAUCACUUAAUCUUGUAUUUUGAUACCAAGUUUGUCAUGAUACAAAUUCCCAAGGCCUAGUGACUGGCACCCACUAGUCUAAAUCAAGCGAACCCAUAACAUACAUUCUAAGCUAGUAAAUAACUCAUGAGCGGCGGAAAACAUGUCUUACAAACUUUCACAGAUGCAUAAAUUUGGAACAUGUUGGAUGGUAAAUAUAAGUUAAACAAUGUCUGGUAACUAGUUAGGAAAUAAGUUAUUCAUGUAUAAAAUUAAUACGACAUGUGGCUUGCAAUUUCGAUAACUAAUAUGGGGUAGAAGAUAGAAUAACUAAUACAUACAUCACUAAUACCUGCAUAAUUCUAACCAGCUACCAAACGAUCCCUUAGCUGACUCAAUGCAUGUCCUAUCUAGUCUAUGUAUACUGUUAAAAGACCUCUAAAAGACGACAGCACAAUGCAUUAGAGCGUUCACUGUAUACAUAACACUGAACCAUGACCUAUGAGCUAGAACUAGAAGUACAAAAUAUAGCAACUUACCAUUGUUUCUAUCAUUAACAGGGGGCCGUACAACAACAUGCAUAGUGAUGACACCUCCUGGAACUUCAAUGGCUGGAAGUCUGGAUUCACCAAGAGUUUUACUAUUUUCAAGGAUCCUUCCAGCAUUUAUAAGCUUCACAUCAUUUGUCGUCCUUGGACCAUUAUCUUUAUCUGCCACAGCAAGAUCUUCUGUUAGCUGAGUUAUUUGAGGCAUGCUUGGUAAAGAAAACGUUUGAGAGCUCACUGAGAUUUUCUGGACAUGGGAAAAAAAAGAAGAGAAAAUAGCAGCACCAUAUGACAUGCACUUCUUGCAAACUAGACAAUGCAAAUAUUAGUCUUAAAUUAUCCUUUUCAUUCCUUAAAAGUAGUGAGAAUCAUACAUUCUCUUUGGCUUUAGAGCAACGAAACAAAUAAUACGUGGAUGUGGCUCAAUUUUCAUCCAUUUUAGAUUAUUGGCUCAAUUAUAUACAAGAAGAUUUGGAAACGCAAGAACGAUUCGUAGUUCUAGAACUAAUAUUCUGUCACAAAUAAUAUUCCCUCCUUUCAAUUUGUUUGCAUGGUUUUGACUUGACAUGGAGUUAAAGAAGUAAAGAAGACUUUUGAAUCUUGUGGUCUCAAACUAAAGAUAUGUAGAAUGUAUCAAAAUGACCUUGAAUCUUGUGGCCUUAAACUAAAGAUAUGUAAAAUAUACCAAAAUGUCAUUUAAUCUUGUGAUCUUAAACAUAUUGUGUGGAAAAUUGAACUAGAGUGAACGGACUAAAAAGCAAAUAAAUUGAAACAGGGGAGUAUUAGUCACUGAAAUUGGAUUUCUUCAUUUGUUCUGCAAGUGUCUUCGCUUUUAGAUCUCACAUGCUCUUUUGGUUGAUGGCACCUUUAAUUCAGACCAGCGGCAAUUCCUUACUGGCCCCUGUUCUAGAGCCUGUGUGAAAGAGGUAGGAAAUAAUAAUCCCGCCCAGGAAUAAUACUGUGGCAAUUCCUUACUGGCCCCUGUUCUUGCUAUUAAUCGUGAGUAUUAUUCCUGGGUGGGAUUAUUAUUUCCCAACAACGGAAAGAACAUAGAAAAACGAUACCGUCAAAAGUUGACAAGAUAAAGUUUCAUUUAAUCAUACAAGGAAGUGUCCCUUAUGAAGCCAGAAAUAAUAAGAGUAUUUAGGUCGCUCUACGUUUUGAAGUUUUGUAGUGUCUUUUCGAUAUGAAUUGGUAGUAUUCUAUAUGUUGGUUGCUCCAAUACCGUUUGUGUGAGCUUGUUAUAAAGUAGCACUACUCUCUCCAUCAUAUCAGUCAUAUUAAUCCCAUUACAUCCCACUCAUUUGCUAGUUCAUUUCCAAACCUAAUCAAUCUAUUUGUCCAAGUUAAAAUCUUUUUGACAUUUUAAUCUCUAGCGAUAAAUUACUAUUACAGUUACUUGACAAGUUCAGAAUUUAAGUACUUGUGUUGGAGCUACAUAGUUGCAAAAGUCAUUGUAGUCAGCUAAUUUAACAGUGAGUUACUCCCUCCGUCGCAAUCUAAGUGUCUUAGUUUGAUUGGGCACAGUGUUGAAGAAAUAAAGGGAGACUUUUGAAUCUUGUGGUCUUAAAUUAAAGAUGUGUGUAGUCCUUUAAAUCUCGUGGUCUUAAACUUUCCAUGUAGGAUGGUGGUUUAGUCUAAAAAGGAAAGUAAGACACUUAAAUUGGUUGGGACAGAGAGAGUAAACAAGAGAAGUAGAGGCUGGGAAAGAUACUCAACAACUGGAGAAGACAAUUAAUCCAACUCAGAAUAAGUACUCAUGCUGAAGCAAUUUAGUUGCUGAAUUCACAGCAGCCGUCUAAUUUACAGUAAAAGAAAAAUGAGAGAUAGAGCUGAAGAAAUCAACGAAUUCAACUCAAAGGAGGUACUGCAGUGAAAACAAAGUCUAGUUCUCAACCAUCAUCUUUCUUUUUUGGUACGGAGGAAUAGGCUUUUAAUUGACAAACUCCUCGCCCCACUGAAAUCAAGGUAUUGCAGGGAACAUUCGAAGAUGGUCAAGAUGGAUGUAGCAGAAUUGGUCGGAAGCUUAAUCCAGAUAUACUUUCUGAUUGAGGAGUGAAGAUCAACCAUGAAAGAACAUUUGAUCCAACCAACCUGUCUAAUGAGAGCAGGGUUCGAUUUUCUAACAUAAGCUAACUGGACUUGGAAAAGAGGUUGUGAAAUCUAUAAAUAAGGAAUGUAUUGGAAAAUCAUUUCAUUUAAACUGUUAUUGAUAUUUUGAAUGAAGGAUUUUCGAUAGUAAAACCCAUGGAGUCUCCAGGUUAAUCACUAAAAUUCCUAUCGCCCGCUUUUAUCUUUUCCUUUAUCUCCUCUAUUUAUCUAUUUCAAGCGUUCAAGUAUUAGAAUGCUCACCUCCUGUUAUACAGAGAGCUCACAAGACUGAGCAUGGCAAAAGAACGAAGGGAUGCGCUGACCAACCAAAAGAUGGGCAAGGGACUAUAUAAUACCAAAGCUUACAUGCAUUAUUUUAUCUAAUACCUCCUGCCAAACGACCCCUAGUAGUUAAAAGGACAGACUAUACAACUAAGUUGCAGAAGUUUGUUAGAUCACAAACUUUGUUGGCACAAUAGUCUUUGGAACCCACCCUUUGUACUGAGGAGGAGCCACGUCUCAAUCCUCGUCCAUUCAUCUUUUUUCUCAAAGAGAUCUGUCAUCCUGACGUUUGUGUGGAAUCGUUUCCAGGGCAAUUGCACACACAACCAAAAAGAAAUUUCUAAUGCAAUCCAACUGGAGCAGCCCAAACUGCAACAAGCUGAUGGAUAAUUGCUUCUGCUAUAAAUACUUGACAUGCAUACCAGGACAAAGGUCACCAUCCAUGUGGUAUGUCUCUUUCAGCAUAAUCAAGAUGGAGCAGAACCGAUGUGGUGCAUUGUUGGUCCAGAGAACUUUCAGCUCCCCAAGCUUCAUUUCAACAUGGUGACAAAAGGGUAAACAAACUUUGUUCCUUAUUCAACAUCGCAGCUAUUGUCACAAAAAAAGAAGUCAAUGGCCCCUUACCACUUAUGCAUCCUCUUCUUCUUUUUUUUGAUAACCUCGACUAAUUCCACGGGAUACCUACCACCUCCCACCAACAACAUGUAUCAAGUAACUCUAUCCACCAAGAGUAGAGCAUGGGAUACCUGCCACCUCCCACCAGCAACACCAGCAACAGGUACUAAACCCUACAUAUGUUAAUACAACAAUCAGGGGUCGUUUGGUAGUUGGUUUGGAGGCGAGUUAUGCUGGUACUAAAUCCUACAUAUGUAAAAAUCUUUGUAAUAUUACUAAUACCUGCGUAACUUUAACCAGCUACCAAGCGACCCUUCAAUCACCAAUCAGACCACAAAUCAGACUAAUGAAGAAACAAAGUAGUGAUUGAAUAUAGCUAAAGCACCAAAAUAUGCAACAAAAGAAGCAAACUCCAUAAAAACACAUAUGUAAAUACACAUAAUCAAGUAUAAAAGUGAAGAAAUUCCACAACCUUUUGGCCACUGUGCAAUCAACUUAUCUUUGAGAGAUGCCACUGUAGUGCUAGAUGCAUACUUAUUUGGCCCAAUAUCACUUCCAUCAGCAAGCCUAAAUUUGAUCUCAACCAGCUCUUGUACAGCCAUUCAACAAUCAAUUUUUCAUCAACCACUAAACACAAACAAAUUCCCACUUCAAAAUUUCCUCACUGAGUCAAGAAAACAGAACAAAAUAUCAAAAACAAGCCAGAUCAAAAUACCUAAAAAAACAAGAAAUGAACAAAACACUUAAAAUCACCAUGACCCUUUACAAUUAGAUCCAAAUAAACCAUAAAGAUUCAAACUUUUCAAACUAAAAAAGCUAAAUUUGAUUCAAACUGACUAAAAUAACAAGAACCCACAUCACAAUUUCUCCAAAUUGUGAGUCUUGAAAGUUUCAAAAAAAAAAAAAAAAAAUUGAUUCAGACUGACCAAAAUAACAAGAACCCAGAUCACAAUUUGUUACAAUAAAACCAAAAAAGUUGGAAUAAUCAAUACCUAUAUGUGCUUUAAAUUGGUUGAUUGAUAUAGAAAGAAUCUUGAAAUAGAAGGGUUAGGAUUAUUAUAACCUGAAUCUAACUGGCAAAAUCUAAUGAUCUGGGAAAGGACACUUCUUACUUGCAGUAAAAUCACUACAAGACAAAUAAAUACAUAGAAACAUGGAAAGUUACAAUCAUGUCCCUUGAGUUUUAGAUUUAGCAAUUUGACCCCAAGCAUAGAAAACUUCUGACACUUUCCUGUCCUUAAUACUUUGUUUGGAUUAUUGUACUACACCAAAAAUGAUUUUUAGCGUCAAUAAAUAUGUUUUUUAGAAGUAACAAUGUUGCUAAAGACUAUAGCGAGAUUGGAUCCAAUCAAUGGCGGAGACAGGAUUUUCAUUAAGAGAGUUGAAAAAAAUAAGUAAGCACGAUAAUAGUAUCCACAUAUAAAUGGAUCGAAUCAGAUAUAAACGAGUCAGGUCGGAUAAGAUAUAAGUGGGUCUGGUCGAAUAUAAGUAAGUAGAUAAAAUUCAAUUCUAAUAGAAAGUAGCAGCAACAAGCUAAAAUGUGAUUAAAAAACGAUGCUAUUCGGAAUCGGACUCGCACAACCGAGAAGAUUUGACAGAAUCUUGAAACCAGUUACCAUUAAACCAAGCAUUUAGCUUAUGCUGAGGGGGUUCAUUAUUAAAUAUAUACUCAUAAAUCAAUAAAUCGUGCUAUAUAUACCGUGUAAUUUUCCAUCGAAUGGGGUUCGAAUCCCCUAACUUGCAUGUAGCUCUACCCCUGGAUCUAAUGACAAUUAAACAAUAUCAGUAAAGGUUCUAGUACUAUUUGUUAUAUAGUCACUCAAAAUUAUUCUUGCAUUGUAUCAUGUUAAAGAAUAUGACGUAUGGAUUAGGGCUGUGUAUCAGUCGGUUCGGUUCGGUUUUGAAGUUUAUCGAUUUGACUUAUCGGUUAUUGGUUUGUGGAGAUGCUAAGCCGUUAUAGAACCAUUAAGAUAUUGACAUAUCGGUUAUUGGUUUAUCGGUUAUUGAUCAUUAUCGGUUCGGUUAUCGGUUUAACCGUUAAGAUUUGACACAAAAAAAAUAAUUAAGAAUCACUUAAAACAAAAUGACAAACCAAAUGAACUUGCACAUGAGUUCACAAGUUACAUCUUUCUCAAAAGCAAGCACUUUUACAUUGUAGAAUAACCAAGAGUUUGGGGAAAACCAGAAAUAAAAGUAGGAAACCAAACUCUAAGUCAAGGACUUUAUAUACAAAUGGUAUAAAUAUAAUUAUUUAAUAUACUAUCGGGUUAUCGGUUAACCCGUUAAGAAAAUAACCUAAAAUCGUUAAGAACCGAUAACCCGAUAACAAAAAAAAUCAAAACCGUUAUCAAAAUCGCUAAACCAAUAACCCAUUACAGAUAAACUAAUAAAAUAAUUUCGAUUCAGAUUAUCGAUUUCGAUUCAAUUUUGAACAGCCCUAGUAUGAAUAGUUUGGUGCGUGAAUGCUUGACUUAGAUUGAACUAGGGACAAUCUAGUAACCAUUUUAACCUAAACACAGUAGGCACCGGCGUGAGUAGUUGAAAAAUUGAGAGGUUCUUAAUGAAAGGGUCAAAGGUUGCACUUGCGAUAAUGCGUUGUACCAUUUUUCUUAAUUACAUAAUAUUACAAAUCAAUAAUUUAAAAGAUAAGUCAAUAAGAAAAGUAAGAUACACGAUAGAAUUGCUAUAGAUACUUUCUAAAGAUAAUGUUCGAGAAAUAUUAUGAAAAUAGUACCUUUUCAUUUUAUUUUUGAUUUCUCACCCAAUAUGUACUUGCUUAGCUUUGGUUCCAAUUAAUUUGAAAUUGUGCAGCUUUUAAGACCCAUUAAAAGAGAAGCAUUUCCUACUAUGAGAAUGAAAAGGUUCAAAUCUGAUACAAAAUAUAAUAAGAAAAAAACCCCGAUAUAUUUAAGAAUAUAGGAUCUUAUUUAAUUAUCGAAUCACACAUACAAAAUUAAUUAUAAGAUCACAUUCAUUAUGAAUUUAUUGCCUCUAAAUUCUAAAUUGCUUGUUUUAUUACCAAUGUCAUGAUCUAAAUUUCCCAAGUGUUUAUAUAGAUUAAAAAAUAAUUAACCAGAGAAUAUUUCAAAUUUUCUCAUUUUGAUUGGUGAAAAUAUUUUGCAAAAACAUUUUUACUAUGAAAAACAAGUUAUUAAAAAUUAGGAAAAUAAAUUCCCAGUUAAAAGCAGGAAAACAAGCUCCUAAACGAAAGCAAGUUCAAAAUUUAUUCAGCCCAAAUAGGUAGUAAAAUAUUCACAAAAAAAGGGCAAAAAAUAUUAAUUGCAGAGUCAUUACACUUGUGCCUAAAAAUUUAGAUCUUACAACAAUAAAGGAGUAUAGACCUAUUGCAUGUUGUUAUGCAUUAUAUAAACUUAUUGUCUAUGCCACUCGAAUUCUUCGAAAAUAUUGAUAGAUACAUAUCUAAUAUAUUUCAAAAUUAAUACAUUCUAAAGAAUCCAAUACGGAUACGAAAACAAUUUUAAAGAAUCUCCUCAACAUAGCUUAUUGCUAAGAUCCUAGCAAACAUGUAAGUCCUAUAUAUUCAAGAUGAAUGAUCAAGAUUGAUCUCCAAAAGCCUUACGAUUCCUCGAAAGGGAUUUACUUGAAGCGGGUCAUACAAUGUUAGACUUGGAUCUAGUAGUUACUCACUUAUUACAUGAUUUUACCAACAACAUUCAACUAUAAUAUAAAAAAGUUUAAAUGAUAAGUAUUCUAACAUACGUUUCUCAUAAAAAUUUCACCUUGUUCAAAGAAAUCACUAAAUCCGAAUUUAAAAGAUUCAUAAAAUGCAAGAAAAAUAAAAAGAUGACCAUUUACUAAACAGUCAUCCCAAAAGCGUCAUAUGUCUACUCAAUCCCUUCACUUCCCAUAAAGGAACUAAAAAGUUUAACAAAAUAUAAAUUAAACAAAUCCCAUCAUAAGCUAACAUUUGUUCUGAAUUUUUUCAACGAGAAUCUUCAAAUUUCUAGCCAGAUCAGUCUUUUCCUCACUUGUUGUCUCUUUUAUACCCUAAGAAAUAUAAAUGAAAAAAAUAUUAAUUUAUCAACCCCAAAAAAAACAACGAUAUAUACGUGUGCACGUAUAUAUCAAAGUAAAAUUAUGAAUAAAAAUUGCUUACCAAAAUUCAGAUUCAAGUCCGUAAGGUGUGAGGUAGGAUCCAUUGGUUGAACAUUCUCAAAUGUAAUGUUACGAAUUGGCCUGUAACACCAUUUUUUUAUUUUAAUGAAUUAAAAAUAAAAUAUAAUCGAAGCACCUGCGUAUCGCACUCCCUCAAUUUUUGAGAUAGACUAAUAAAAAAAUAAAAAAAUAUAAAUUGAGACGGAAUAUAAUUACAUUCUCUGUGGAUUUCUUGUUGUGUCAAUACUUAGUGGAGCAUUUGGAUAUUGACGAUUUGUCUCCUGCAUUCAUUUCAUAAAAUAACAAAAAUAUGUUAUUGCAAUAUGUUUUUGAACAAUUACCUAAACAAAAUAUUUUUCAUAUUAAGAUAAUUAUUUUUAGAAGGAAAUUACUUGUAUAAAUUAAUUUUUGAAUCGAAAUAAAUAAAUUAGAGAGUAGACAUACUGAACGUGAAAAGGAUCCACGCAUUAAUCCUGGCAUUCUUCCUCGCGGGUACCUUGCCUGCAUUUAUUUAACAUAUAUAAAUAAUUUGAUUAAACAUAAAAAUUUAGAGAAAAAAAAUAAAAAAUUUAUGGAUUUGUAAACAUAUUUUACUACAAAAUAACAUUUGUGUUAUAGAAACUUUGAUUAAGGAUUACUCAAAAUUUUAGAGUUGAUUAUUUUCAAAUAUAAAAAUAUGUAAAUCAAUAUAGCAAAAAUAACAUUAAAGAGAAAAGAAGAUGACAUAAUAAUAAUAAUAUUUAACCAUCGUACCCUUGUACCACGAGCUCUUGGAUUUCUUAUUGAAGGAAUAGCAGGCCUAUUAGUAUUGAUAUUGUACACCUGUUAAUAAAGAAACAAUAAAAGUAGCAUAUAUACAUAAAUAUGUUGAGUUAUUAUUACUAAUUAAAAGGUAAUAGAGAUAAUUAAUUGUAACUUCAUUUAAUUUAUAUUCCAAGAAAUUAAAAUCUACUUGGCCAAAAAGUAGAUAGUAAACAAAAGAAUGAUACGUUUUAUAAAGAAAGAUAUACCGCUGGAGGUAAAUUAUGGCUCAUAGUAAAUGAGAGUCCAGAAGCAGAAUUAAACACAGGCCUUCAUAAGAGAAUAAGAUAUACAUUAGUUAUUCGUAAAAAAUAACGUUUAUUUAUCACCUUUUUCUAUCUUAUUUCUGAAAAUUAGUCAUAAUCGUGAAGUUUUGUAUUACACAAAUAAAACUCUUUUAAUAAUAAGAGUAUCAUAUAUAUGUGUGAGAGAAUAUUUAAUACCUUGAGGCAGAAAACAUAUUGUAUUGAUUCAACACAAAUUCCGAUGGGGCUCGGAUGCUAAUAAGAAAAUAAAAAGAUAUGCAUUAGUUAUUUUAUAAUAAAAAAAUAGCGUGUAUUAAUCAUUUUUCAAAUUUAUUUCUGAAAAGUAGUCACUAUCAUGAAGUUUUGAAUUUCACAAGUGAAACUUUAUCACGAUAUAUUCAAGUUUCACAUAUGAGUUUAAAACUUUACAACAAUAAACAUUUUUCAAUUAUAAGAAUUCUGAAAGUUGAUAUUUUAUAAGUUUUAUUCUUAUUAUAGAAAUUGAGCAUAGAUUAUUAUAUAUAUGUGAGAGAAUACUUAAUACCUUGAGGCAGAAAACAUAGCUCGUUGAUUCACCACAAAUGGAUUUAAUGGGACUUGGAUACUGAUAAAAAAAAGAAAAAAAAGAAAAAAGAUAUGCAAUAGUUAUUCAUAAAAAUAGCAUUUUUAAUACUUCUCAAGUUUAUAUAUAUAUGUGAGAGAAUACUUAAUACCUUGAGGUAGAAAACAUAGCUUGUUGAUUCAACAUAAGAUUUGAUGUGACUUGGAUACUGAUAAAAAGAAAGAAAAGAUAAAAAGAUAUGCAUUAGUUAUUCAUAAAAAUAGCAUUUCUAACACUUUUCAAACUUGUUUCUGAAAAGUAAUCACUAUUCGUCGAGUCUUGACAACUGAAAAUCCAUCACAAUAUAUUGAAAUCUCAUCUCUGAAUUUAAAAUUUCAUGAUAAUGAAUAUUUCUCAAUUACAAAAGUUUUAAAAUGAUAUUGUGUAUAUUUUACCCUGUUAUAAAAGUUAAGUGUAGAUUAUCAUAUGUGUGUGAAAGAGAAUAUAUAAUACCUUGAGGCAGAAAAAAUAUUAUUUCGAUUCAACACAAAUGGACUUGACGGGGCUUGGACACUAAUAAAAAGAAAAAAGAGAGAGAGAAAAAAGAGAGAUGCAUUAGUCGUUAUUCAAAAAAUGGUGAUUUAUUGAUCGUUUUUCGAUCUUGUUUCUGAAAAAUAGUCACUAUCUUGAAGUUCUUAAUUUCACAAUUAAAACUCACUUACAAUAUAUUCAAAUUUCACCUGUGAGUUUAAAAUUUUACGAAAAAAAAUAUUCUUCAAUUACAAAAGUUUUGAAGAUAGUUAUUUUGUAAGGUUUAUAUAUCUUUGUUAUUAAAAUUGAGUGUAGAUUAUCAUGUGUGUGAGAGAAAAUUUAAUAUCUUGAGGCAAAAAACAUAUCAUGUUGAUUCAACACAAAUGGAUUUGUAGGGGUUUGGAUGCUUACAAAAAUAAAGAAAAGAAAAAAAGAUAUACAAUAGUUAUCGUAAAAAUAGUGUUUAUUGAUCACUUUUCAAUCUCGUUUUUGAAAAAUAGUCACUAUCAUAAAGUUCUGAAUUUCACAACUAAAACUUCAUCACAAAUGAAAUUAAAAAGAAAAAUAAGAAAAAAGAUAUGAUAAACCACGAAGUAUGUUUCUGUUAAUUUUAUAUUAUAAUAUGUUGUUGGUUUAAUUAUUUUAUAAUUAGAGCAAAUAAUCUCACAUAUAUAUAUUUCUGAUUUAAGAUCCAUUGAUAGAAAAUAAUAACACAUAAAGUAGAAUAGAGAAAAUAUAUAAUUACUUUCUCCAUGGUGGAAUAUUUGGAUAUUGCAUGUUUUCUCCCUCAACGACUUCUCUCUGCAUUAAUAUCACAAAAAAUAUAUAAAAUAAUAGAAAUGUGUUAUGCGUUGUAUGAACAAUUACACAAAUUAAAUAUUUUGAAAUUAAGUAAAUUAUUUUCAAAAUUAUUUGUAAAUUAAUGUUUAAACCAUUAAAUUUAAGUUAGGGAAUAGAUACAUACUCUUGCAGACAAUCCAUGCAUUAACCCUGACAUUCUUCCUCGUGGAUAGUUUGCCUGCAUUUAUUUAACAUAAAAUGUAAGUUUGCCUAAUAAUGCUAACAAAACAUUUUGAUACUUUCAUCAUUUCAAUUUAUUUGGUAUAAUAUAAAACACUACAAACAUUUAAGAAAUAAUAGAAAGAUUUUUAGACUUUGUAAAUUUUUAAAUAUGUAAUAGUAUUUAUAUAAUUAUAAUAGUUCUGACACUUGUUUUAAUAUGUCAUAAUAUUUGUGUUAAAAGAAAAUCAUUAAAGAUAAAAAUCAAAAGUUUAAAGUUAAUUGUUUUUUAAUCUAAAAAUAAGUCCUUUUUUAGAUGAACUGAUAAGAAAAUAAUGUCAAGUAAAUUAAUAAGAACGGAGUAAUAUUUUUUUAAAUGACUAUCAUACCCUCGGACUACGAGUUCUCAAGGAUCCUCUUGAAGGAAUGACAACCCUAUUAUUAGAGUUGGCAAUGUCUCCCUGCAUAUAGAAACAAUAAAAAGGCAAAAUAUAUAUCAGCUUUACUAAUUAAAGAAGAAUAAGGAUAUAGUUAUUGUAACUUCAUCUGAGUUACUUGUGUGUGAAAAAACUUCGAGAAUAAAUUGAUUUUGACUUUUAAUUCAAUUUCAAAAAUUAAAUAAUAAUUAAGAGGUCAAAGCCACCAAGACUACAUAAAGAGAUCAAAUAUUCCUUAAUUUAUUGAUAUGAGACUUGACACUCUCUCGUACCCUCUAUCUCCACACAAUACUAGACAUCUGAAGUAUAGAGAAUAUAACAUAGAGGUCUAACAUGAUAAAUAUUGAAUUAGAAUAGCAGGGAGAAUAUAAUGCAGAGGUCUGACAUGAUAAAUAUUGAAUUAGAAUGAAUAUCCCUGAUAUAAUAAUAAAAAAUAAUAAUAAGAUCCUAAUUGAUUUCAAAAAGUUGGGGUAAGUCUAAGAUAAGAAUUCCUCGGAAUCAUAUAAAAUGUAACUCAAUGUGGAACUCAAUAAACAACCCCCCCCCCCCCCCCCCCCCCCCCCCCCCCAAACACAACAAAAAUGGGAACACNNNNNNNNNNNNNNNNNNNNNNNNNNNNNNNNNNNNNNNNNNNNNNNNNNNNNNNNNNNNNNNNNNNNNNNNNNNGAACUCAAUAAACACCCCCCCCCCCCCCCCCCCCCCACGUUCCCAUGUGAUUACCCGUUAAAAGAUAAAAGAAGGAUGUAAAUACAACUCUACCAACUCUCUCUUUAUUGCCUUUUCUCAAAUUUACUUAGCUAAAUGGAGAUUGUAAAGUAAAAAAGAUGAUAAGAUUUCAAAAUAAAAUACCUCUGAAGGUAAAUUUUGACCAACAGUAAGUGUGAGUUCUGGAGCAGGAUUGGAUAUAGACCUAACAAGUAAGAGAAUACAUCUUUAAAAUAUAUACAUAUAUAUUAGAACAAAAGACAAACAAUUUUUUUUAUUAAGUAAAAGAGAGAAAUAACUAACCAUUAAUUAUUAUAGAAAUUGAAUAUAAAUAAUCAUGUGUGUUUAGAGAGAGUAUUUAAUACCUUGAGGAAGAAUCAAUGUCAUGUUGAUUGAACCCAAAAGGAUUGGCAAUGUCUCCCUGCAUAUAGAAACAAUAAAAAAGCAAAAUAUAUAUCAUCUUUACUAAUUAAAGAAGAAUAAGGAUAUAGUAAUUGUAACUUCAUUUGAGUUACUUGUGUGUGAAAUAACUUUCAGAAUAAAUUGAUUUUGACUUUUAACUCAAUUUCAAAAAUUAAAUAAUAAUUAAGAGGUGAUCUGAUUGACCACUAAGACAACAUAAAGAGAUCAAAUGUUCCUUAUUUCGUUGAUAUGAGACUCCACGCUCUCUCCUACCCUCUACAUACACACAAUAUCAGACAUUUGAAGCAUAGAGAAUAUAACACAGAAGUCUGACAUGAUAAAUAUUGAAUUAGAAUAGCAUGAAGGAUAUAACACAAAGGUCUAACGUGAUAAGUAUUGAAUUAGAAUGUGAGUAUGUCUGAUAUAAUCAUAAAAAAUAAUAAGAUCCUAAUUAAUUUUAAAAAGUUAGUAGGUCUAUGAGAUAAAAAUUCCUCGAAAUCAUUAAAAUUUAUCACAUAUUCCAUCAUAAAAAUUUAUCACAUAUUCCGUAACUUAAUGUGGAACUCAAUAUACAACCGCACCCCCCCCCCCCCCGCCCCCCCCCAUAAAUUUACUUAGUCAAAUGAAGAUAGUAAAGUAAAAAAGAUGAUAAGAUUUCAAAAUAAAAUACCUCUGAAGGUAAAUUUUGACCAACAGUAAGUGUGAGUUCUGGAGCAGGAUUGGAUAUAGACCUAACAAGUAAGAGAAUACAUCUUUAAAAUAUAUACAUAUAUAUUAGAACAAAAGACAAACAAUUUUUUUUAUUAAGUAAAAGAGAGAAAUAAUUAACCAUUAAUUAUUAUAGAAAUUGAAUAUAAAUAAUCAUGUGUGUUUAGAGAGAAUAUUUAAUACCUUGAGGAAGAAUCAAUGUCAUGUUGAUUGAACCCAAAUGGAUUGGCAAUGUCUCCCUGCAUAUAGAAAUAAUAAAAAAGCAAAAUAUAUAUCAUCUUUACUAAUUAAAGAAGAAUAAGGAUAUAGUAAUUGUAACUUCAUUUGAGUUACUUGUGUAUGAAAAAACUUUGCGAAUAAAUUGAUUUUGACUUUUAACUCAAUUUCAAAAAAUUAAAUAAUAAUUAAGAGGUGAUGAUUGACCACUAAGACUACAUAAAGAGAUCAAAUGUUCCUUAUUUCAUUUAUAUGAGACGUCACGCUCUCUCAUACCCUCUACAUACACACAAUACCAAACAUUUGAAGCAUAGAUAAUGUAACACAGAAGUCUGACAUGAUAAAUAUUGAAUUAGAAUUGCAUGAAGGAUAUAACACAAAGGUCUGACAUGAUAAAUAUUGAAUUAGAAUAGCAUGAAAGAUAUAACACAAAGGACUAACGUGAUAAAUAUUGAAUUAGAAUGAGUAUGUCUGAUAUAAUGAUAAAAAAAAUAAGAUCCUAAUUAUUUUAAAAAAGUUAGUAGGUCUAUGAGAUAAGAAUUCCUCAAAUUCAUAAUAAUUUAUCACAUAUUCCGUAACUUAAUGUGGAACUCAAUAAGCAGCAACCCCCCCCCCCCCGGCUCCCAAUGUGAUUAUCAGUCAAAGGGUAAAAAGACGGGGGUAAAUACAACUCUCUCUUCAUUACAUUUUCUCAAAUUUACUUAGUCAAAUGAAGAUUGUAAAGUAAAAAGAUGAUAAGAUUUCAAAAUAAAAUACCUUUGAAGGUAAAUUUUGACCAAUAGUAAGUGUGAGUUCUGGAGCAGGAUUAGAUAUAGACCUAACAAGUAAGAGAAUACAUCUUUAAAAUAUAUACAUAUAUAUUAAAACAAAAGACAAACAAUUUUUUUUAUUAAAUAAAAGAGAAAGAAUUAACCAUUAUUAUUAUAGAAAUUGAAUAUAAAUAAUCAUGUGUGUUUAGAGAGAAUAUUUAAUACCUUGAGGAAGAAUCAAUGUCAUGUUGAUUGAACCCAAAUGGAUUGGCAAUGUCUCCCUGCAUAUAGAAACAAUAAAAAAGUAAAAUAUAUAUCAUCUUUACAAAUUAAAGAAGAAUAAGGAUAUAGUAAUUGUAACUUCAUCUGAGUUACUUGUGUGUGAAAAAACUUUGAGAAUAAAUUGAUUUUGAUUUUUAACUCAAUUUCAAAAAUUAAAUAAUAAUUAAGAGGUGAUGAUUGACCACUAAGACUACAUAAAGAGAUCAAAUGUUCCUUAUUUCAUUGAUAUGGGACUCCACAUUCUCUCCUAUCCUCUACAUACACACAAUACUAGACAUAUGAAGCAUGGAGAAUAUAACACAGAGAUCUGACAUGAUAAAUAUUGAAUUAGAAUUGCAUGAAGAUUAUAACACAGAGGUCUGACAUGAUAAAUUUUGAAUUAGAAUAAAUAUAUAUGAUAUAAUGAUGAAAAAUAAUAAGAUUCUAAUAAUUUCAAAAAGUUUGUAAGUCUAUGAGAUACGAAUUCCUCAAAAUCAUAAAAAAAAUUAUCAAAUAUUUCGUAACUCAAUAUGGAACUCAAUAAACAACCCCCCCCCCCACGCUCCCCAUGUGAUUAUUAAUCAAAGGGUAAAAAGACUGAGGUAAAUACAACUCUGCCAACUCUCUCUUCGUUGUCUUUUCUCAAAUUUAUUUAACCAAAUGAAGAUUGUAAAGUAAAAAAGAUGAUAAAAAUUUCAAAAUAAAAUACCUUUGAAGGUAAAUUUUGACCAACAGUAAGUGUGAGUUCUGGAGCAGGAUUAGAUAUAGACCUAUCAAGUAAGAAAAUACAUCUUAAAAAUACAUAUAAAUUAAAACAAAAUACAAACAAAUAUUAAAUAAAUAAUAAAGAGAAAGAAUUAAGCAUCAAGUAUUAUAGAAAUUGAAUAUAGAUUGUCAUGUGUGUUUAGAGAGAAUAUUUAAUACCUUGAGGAAGAAUCAAUGUCAUGUUGAUUGAACCCAAAAGGAUUGGCAAUGUCUCCCUGCAUAUAGAAACAAUAAAAAAGCAAAAUAUAUAUCAUCUUUACUAAUUAAAGAAGAAUAAGGAUAUAGUAAUUGUAACUUCAUCUGAGUUACUUGUGUAUGAAAAAACUUUGCGAAUAAAUUGAUUUUGACUUUUAACUCAAUUUCAAAAAUUAAAUAAUAAUUAAGAGGUGAUACAAGCAGCAUAAACUAAUAUAUAGAUUAUUGAAUAACUUAUGUUACUAUUAAUUAUGAGGGAAAAAAUUAGAAAACCUCGUUUUGUAUAACUCAACAUUAAUUUUUAUGUAGAGAAUCAAUUUCUUAGAAACCAAUCAGACAUGAUACAAAUCAAUAUUAAUUUUAUUCGGACAUUAGAGUGAUUUAAUAGAAAUUAUUACAAAAUACAAGAAGGGGUGAUACAUUUUACCAGCGUACGAAUUAUAUAAAAUAAAUAUGAAAAAAUUAUUUUAAAACACAACUUAUUUUACUAUCUUCUCUAAAAUUUCCUAUCAUUUGAAAAAAAUACAAAAAUUCCUACUUUACAUGACGUAUCAGUCGGAUACAUCACUUUAAGAUAUAACGGGACGUACGCGAUGUAUCAUGAUGUUACUUUACGCGAUGUAUCAGUCAAAUACAUCAUUUUACGCAAUGUAUCACUUGGAUACAUCACUUUACGCUAUGUAUCGGGACGUACGUGGUGUAUUGGGACGUCGAGUGAUGUAUCCGUAAUCGAGACGCGAUGUAUCAGGACAUUGAGUAAGGAUGUAUCCAAAAUCGGGAUGGGAUGUAUCCAAAAUCGGGACGCGAUAUAUCGGGACGUUUUGGGAUGUAUCUGAACUCUACCAAAUUUAAGGGAUUUUGUAAUUAGGAAAAGAAUAGGGUUAGGUGUAAUUAGCUCUUAAUACUAUAGGACUUGUGUAAAAUCUACAUCCUACGAUAAAAUCAUAAAACGACCAAGAUACCCUUCCUCGGUACUCAUUUUCCCCAAAAUUCUUUAAAACAUCUCAGAUUAAUAAGAGUUAACAACAAUGAAUUUAUUAACUCUAAAAGAAGUACCUGGAUUGCAAGAAGUCAAGAUCAACAGAAGUUUGUAAGGUCUUCUCAUUCUGUUUUUCUGGAGCAUCACUAUUUUGAGACCUAAAUCAUACAUAUAUAAAACAAAGGGUUUAGAUCUAAAAUUAUAGAUUGAGAAAUUCAAAAAGAGAAAGAGAUCAAAAGAAUUACAUCUUGAAAAGAGAGAUAUCCAAGUGAUAGCUUCAAUAAUAAGUGAUACCCCUUUCAAAUUUUAUAACAGAGUAUAAUAUUGAGGAGCUAGAUGUGCGUCUUAUUUAUAAUAUAUGUUGGUAAUAAAUUUUAUUGUAUUUAUAAAUUUAAUAUAGAUUUUAUCAUAUUAAUGAACCGAAGUAUAAAUGAAAUUGAUAGAAUUAAAUUCUCAAGAUUCCAAAUCUAAGACCGUAACAAAAUACACAAAUUAUUUUGUAUUAGUCUCAACACAUCUAUUGUAACACAUAAUUAUUUAUUUAAAAAUUGAAAUGAUACUAGUAUACCCCAAUAUAGUAAAUUGUUCAACUUUAUCCUGUGUUAUACUAUCUGUAACACCUCAGAUCUCAAAAUGAAGAAAAAUCCUAGUUUUCAAAAAGCAGGUGUCAGUACCGACGGAACCACCAUGGACCAUAGGUGGGACCACGGACUGUAGGUGGAGUUCUGUCGUUAAGGCCCAAAUCUUUAUAGUCUCUGAUUUCACCCACGAUCGACCAGUACAGUCCAUGGUUGGACCUACAGACCGUAGGUGAGGGUCAGCAGCCAGUUCGAGGGAAAUUGUUGUUUGGUCAACUUCAAAUGGUCAUCACUCUUAGCACAAAAGGAAUUAGGUGGCAUAUGACCCACCAAAUGAUAGAUAAUUGAAUCAUUUUUCCAACGCCACCGAGUUUGCUAAAAUCUCCUCUCCUAGUAAAAAGUUAUGCUCGUUUUAGUGAAGCCAUGUCGGGCAGACUUGACCGACGAACCCAAAUGACGGUCUGUAGGUCAAACGACGGACCGGCGUUCCCUCCAUGGAUGGGCUUCGUCAGAAUUAAGUUAGGGUCAUUUUGAUCAUUUCCCCUAUGUGUUGGGCACUUAAACUACGUCGUUUGAUGCCUAAACUACGUCGUUUUACUCAAAAUAAGCCUAAUAACAUAGUCAGACUUACCCACAACCCUUAUUCUCUAAAGAUUCAUCAAACUUAGAACAAAAGAGGAGAAAAGAGACGACCCAAACCUUUCCAAGAACGCAACAAAUUUUCUUCAGUUCCAGCCCCGAAAUCAAAAGAUUUCUCCGUGAAUUUCGUCACGGGUAUGUGGAAUUUCACUAGUGUGUUCCUUUCAUCCACUAAGUCUCUAGAAUUCAGUCAAAUUCUUGAUUCUCUAUAUCAUGUUUAGACUUGGGUUUCUACAACCUUGCAGAAUUGUUGUGAAUUAGCUGUUAUAAUAUUCCCAAUUAGGGUAUCGUGUUUUCAUGAAAUCAUUGCUUAGUUCUUUGCAUGAAAUUCAGAACCCUAGUUGUGUAGAUUCUUUUAGCUCAUGAAUUGCACUUGCUAGGUCAGUUAAACAAAUAUACAUUCUCCAGUUACGAAUGUUUCAUUGUCAGUUAUAAAUGUUGCAUUCUCAGAUUUACAUGUCACAACAUUGAGUUAUCCAGUAUUUCAGAUAUGUUGUUUAUACACAUUCCAGUUAGAAGUAGGCUUAGACCGAGUUGGACUAAGGUUCAGCGUAUCCUCAUAGUCCCAGAACUACGUGCCUCCGUAGGUUUAUCAGUCCCCUCUGUUGGGCAUCAACUUUAGUGAUCAUGUCAUUCAUGUUUUUAUACCCCUGACAAGGUAUAUUGGGUCCUAUCGAUGGGGCGUAUACAUCGAACAAACAUACAUUUAUACCCCUGACAAGGUGUAUUGGAUCCUCUCGAUGGGGCGUAUACAUCGGAUUACACGUUUAUCUCACGUGAUUUUAUGUCGGUUAAUAGUAGCUCCCACAAUCAGACCUUAGUGCAUUCGACCAAGUAUUCAGUUAUACUUCAACAUUCAGUAUCAAUAUGUCAUGUUCAGAAUUAGUACUUGGUCAUUGCAUUUAGUUUAGUCUUCAGUAUAUUUCAGCAUUUACAUUCAGUUCAGAUUAUAUUAUUUCUCAGUAUGCUUUGUUCAGUUAUGUAUUUUGUUCAGUUAUACUUUAUAUCCUGCAUGCUCACAUUCCAAGUACUGACGCAUACUCUGCGUUACAUCAUUUCAUGAUGUAGGUUCAGGUACUCAGCAUCCAAAUCACGCAUAGAUCAGUUUUCGAUCUCUAGUUCAGCAACUUCAGUGAUGAGUCCUUAUACUUCGAGGACAAUAGACAUGUUUUACACUUUAGUCUUUUUAUUCAGUUUUCAGUUUUGCUAGAGUUAGUUAGGGCAUGUCCCAGCAAUUUUAGUCAGUUAGAGGCUCUUUCAGACAUAUCAUUAUAUUCAACUUUAGUUUUGAGUUUGAUCUUCCAGUUGUUAUUAAACUCAUAUUCUUUUAUAUAAUCAGAUUAGUAUUGGGUAUUCCCACUAUCAGUUGAUUAUGGUUUAAGCUUCCGCAUAGUAUAUUUUAUUCAGUAAUCUUUUAGUAUGCUUAUGAUAUGUCUGCUCAGGGUUAGCUUGGGGUCACUCAUGAUCCUAGGUCCAGUGUUUACGUUCAAGGGGAUAGCUUCGGGGCGUGACACUAUCUAACUAAUUUUACCUUCAUUAUGUCACGAUCCAGACCAUCGUGAGUCGCACCCACACUAACCCUCGUGUGGGUGAACCAACUAAUCUUAGCCCAACAAAUCUGUCACGAUUCAAAAACGGACAUGAUGACACUUGUCUAUUCCCACCAAGACAAAUCAGCAUUAAACCAACGAAUCAUGUGUGUUUAGAGAGUAUUUAAUACCUUGAGGAAGAAUCAAUGUCAUGUUGAUUGAACCCAAAUGGAUUGGCAAUGUCUCCCUGCAUAUAGAAACAAUAAAAAAGCAAAAUAUAUAUCAUCUUUACUAAUUAAAGAAGAAUAAGGAUAUAGUAAUUGUAACUUCGAGUUACUUGUGUGUGAAAAAACUUUGAAAAUAAAUUGAUUUUGACUUUUAACUCAAUUUCAAAAAUUAAAUAAUAAUUAAGAGGUGAUGAUUGACCACUAAGACUACAUAAAGAGAUCAAAUGUUCCUUAUUUCAUUGAUAUGAGACUCCACGCUCUCUCCUACCCUCUACAUACACACAAUACCAGACAUUUGAAGCAUAGACAAUAUAACACAAAAGUCUGACAUGAUAAAUAUUGAAUUAGAAUAGCAUGAAGGAUAUAACAUAAAGGUCUAACGUGAUAAGUAUUGAAUUAGAAUGAGUAUGUCUAAUAUAAUGAUAAAAAAUAAUAAGAUCCUAAUUAAUUUUAAAAAGUUAGUAGGUCUAUGAGAUAAGAAUUCCUCAAAAUCAUAAAAAUUUAUCACAUAUUCCGUAACUUAAUGUGGAACUCAAUAUACAACCGCACCCCCCCCCCCCGCGCUCCCCAUGUAAUUAUCAAUCAAAUGGUAAAAAGACGGGGUAAAUACAACUCUAUCAACUCUCUCUUCAUUACAUUUUCUCAAAUUUACUUAGUUAAAUGAAGAUAGUAAAGUAAAAAAAAUGAUAAUAUUUCAAAAUAAAAUACCUCUGAAGGUAAAUUUUGACCAACAGUAAGUGUGAGUUCUAGAGCAGGAUUAGAUAUAGACCUAUCAAGUAAGAAAAUACAUCUUAAAAAUACAUAUAAAUUAAAACAAAAUACAAACAAAUAUUAAAUAAAUAAAAAAGAGAAAGAAUUAAGCAUUAAGUAUUAUAGAAAAUUGAAUAUAGAUUGUCAUGUGUGUUUAGAGAGAAUAUUUAAUACCUUGAGGAAGAAUCAAUGUCAUGUUGAUUGAACCCAAAAGGAUUGGCAAUGUCUUCCUGCAUAUAGAACAAUAAAAAGCAAAAUAUAUAUCAUCUUUACUAAUUAAAGAAGAAUAAGGAUAUAGUAAUUGUAACUUCAUUUGAGUUACUUUGUGUGUGAAAUAACUUUCAGAAUAAAUUGAUUUUGACUUUUAACUCAAUUUCAAAAAUUAAAUAAUAAUUAAGAGGUGAUCUGAUUGACCACUAAGACAACAUAAAGAGAUCAAAUGUUCCUUAUUUCAUUGAUAUGAGACUCCACAUUCUCUCCUGCCAUCUACAUACACACAAUACUAGACAUAUGAAGCAUGGAAAAUAUAACACAGAGAUCUGACAUGAUAAAUAUUGAAUUAGAAUUGCAUGAAGAUUAUAACACAGAGGUCUGACAUGAUAAAUUUUGAAUUAGAAUGAAUAUAUCUGAUAUAAUGAUGAAAAAUAAUAAAAUUCUAAUCAUUUCAAAAAGUUUGUAGGUCUAUGAGAUACGAAUUCCUCAAAAUCAUAAAAAAAUAAGACUGAGGCAAAUACAACUCUGCCAACUCUCUCUUCAUUGCCUUUUCUCAAAUUUAUUUAACCAAAUGAAGAUUGUAAAGUAAAAAAGAUGAUAAAGAUUUCAAAAUAAAAUACCUCUGAAGGUAAAUUUUGUCCAACAGUAAGUGUGAGUUCUAGAGCAGGAUUAGAUAUAGACCUAUCAAGUAAGAAAAUACAUCUUAAAAAUACAUAUAAAUUAAAACAAAAUACAAACAAAUAUUAAAUAAAUAAAAAAGAGAAAGAAUUAAGCAUUAAGUAUUAUAGAAAUUGAAUAUAGAUUGUCAUGUGUGUUUAGAGAGAAUAUUUAAUACCUUGAGGAAGAAUCAAUGUCAUGUUGAUUGAACCCAAAAGGAUUGGCAAUGUCUCCCUGCAUAUAGAAACAAUAAAAAAGCAAAAUAUAUAUCAUCUUUACUAAUUAAAGAAGAAUAAGGAUAUAGUAAUUGUAACUUCAUCUGAGUUACUUGUGUAUGAAAAAACUUUGCGAAUAAAUUGAUUUUGACUUUUAACUCAAUUUCAAAAAUUAAAUAAUAAUUAAGAGGUGAUCUGAUUGACCACUAAGACAACAUAAAGAGAUCAAAUGUUCCUUAUUUCAUUACAAGCAGCAUAAACUAAUAUAUAGAUUAUUGAAUAACUUAUGUUACUAUUAAUUAUGAGGGAAAAAGUUAGCAAACCUCGUAUUGUAUAACUCAACAUUAAUUUUUAUGUAGAGAAUCAAUUUCUUAGAAACCAAUCAGACAUGAUACAAAUCAAUAUUAAUUUUAUUCGGACAUUAGAGUGAUUUAAUAGAAAUUAUUACAAAAUACAAGAAGGGGUGAUACAUUUUACCAGCGUACGAAUUAUAUAAAAUAAAUAUGAAAAAAUUAUUUUAAAACACAACUUACUUUACUAUAUUCUCUAAAAUUUCCUAUCAUUUGAAAAAAUUACAAAAAUUCCUACUUUACAUGAUGUAUCAGUCGGAUACAUCAUUUUACGCAAUGUAUCACUUGGAUACAUCACUUUACGCAAUGAAUAGGGACGUACGUGGUGUAUUGGGACGUCGAGUGAUAUAUCCGUAAUCGAGACUCGAUGUAUCAGGACAUUGAAUAAGGAUGUAUCCAAAAUCGGGAUGGGAUGUAUCCAAAAUCGGGAUGGGAUGUCUCCAAAAUCGAGACGCGAUAUAUCGGGACGUUUUGGGAUGUAUCUGAACUCUACCAAAUUUAAGGGAUUUUGUAAUUAGGAAAAGAAUAGAGUUAGGUGUAAUUAGCUCUUAAUACUAUAGGACUUGUGUAAAAUCUACAUCCUAGGAUAAAAUAUUAAAAUGACCAAGAUGCCCUUCCUCAGUACUCAUUUUCCCCAAAAUUCUUUAAAACAUCUCAGAUUAAUAAGAGUUAACAUCAACGAUGAAUUUAUUAACUCUAAAAGAGGUACCUGGAUUGCAAGAAGUCAAGAUCAACAGAAGUUUGUAAAGUCUUCUCAUUCUGUUUUUUUGGAGCAUCACUAUUUUGAGACCUAAAUCAUACAUAUAUAAAACAAAGGGUUUAGAUCUAAAAUUACAGAUUGAGAAAUUCAAAAAGAGAAAGAGAUCAAAAGAAUUACAUCUUGAAAAGAGAGAAAUCCAAGUGAUAACUUAAAUAAUAAGCGAUACCCCUUUCAAAUUUUAUAACAUAGUACAAUAUUGAGGAGCUAGAUGUGCGUCUUAUUUAUAAUAUAUGUUGGUAAUAAAUUUUAUUGUAUUUAUAAAUUUAAUAUAGAUUUUAUCAUAUUAAUGAACCGAAGUUUAAAUGAAAAUGAUAGAAUUAAAUUCUCAAGAUUCCGAAUCUAAGACCGUUACAAAAUACACAAAUUAUUUUGUAUUAGUCUCAACACAUCUAUCGUAACACAUAAUUAUUUAUUUAAAAAUUGAAAUGAUACUAGUAUACCCCACUAUAGUAAAUUGUUUAACUUUAUCCUAUGUUAUACUAUCUGUAACAUCUCGGAUCUCAAAAUGAAGAAAAAUCCUAGUUUACAAAAAGCGGGUGCCAGUACCGACGGAAUCACCAUGGACCAUAGGUGGGACCACGGACUGUAGGUGGGGUUCUGUCGUUAAGGCCCAAAUCUUUAUAGUCUCUGAUCCCACCCACGAUCGACCAGUACAGUCCGUGGUUGGACCUGCAGACCGUAGGUGAGGGUCAGCAGCCAGUUAGAGGGAAAUUGUUGUUUGGUCAACUUCAAAUGGUCAUCACUCUUAGCACAAAAGGAAUUAGGUGGCAUAUGACCCACCAAAUGAUAGAUAAUUUAAUCAUUUUUCCAACGCCACCGAGUUUGCUAAAAUCUCAUCUCCGAGUAAAACGUUAUGCUCGUUUUAGUGAAGCCAUGUCGGGCAGACUUGACCGACGAACCCAAACGACGGCCUGUAGGUCAAACGACGGACCGUCGUUCCCUCCGUGGAUAGGCUUCAUUAGAAUUAAGUUAAGGUCGUUUUGGUCCUUUCCCCUAUGCGUUGGGCACUUAAACUACGUCGUUUGAUGCCUAAGCUACGUCAUUUUACUCAGAAUAAGCCUAAUAACAUAGUCAGACUUACCCACAACCCUUAUUCUCUAAAGAUUCAUCAAACUUAGAACAAAAAAGGAGAAAAGAGGCGACCCAAAUCCUUCCAAGAACACAGCAAGUUUUCUUCAGUUCCAGCCCCGAAAUCAAAAGAUUUCUCCGUGAAUUUCGUCACAGGUAUGUGAAAUUUCACUAGUGUGUUCCUUUCAUCCACUAAGUCUCUAGAAUUCUGUCAAAUUCUUGAUUCUCUAUAUCAUGUUUAGACUUGGGUUUCUACAACCUUGCAGAAUUGUUGUGAAUUAGCUGUUUUAGUAUUCUCAAUCAGGUUAUCAUGUUUUCAUGAAAUCGUUGCUUAGUUCUUUGCAUGAAAUUCAGGACCCUAGUUGUGUAGAUUCUUUUAGCUCAUGAAUUGCACUUGCUAGGUCAGUUAAACAAAUAUACAUUCUCUAGUUACGAAUGUUUCAUUGUCAGUUAUAAAUGUUACAUUCUCAGAUUUGCAUGUCACAACAUUGAGUUAUCCAGUAUUUCAGAUAUGUUGUUUAUACACAUUCCAGUUGAAAGUAGGCUUAGACCGAGUUGGACUAGAGUUCAGCGUACCCUCAUAGUCCCAGAACUACGUGCCUCCGUAGGUUUAUCAGUCCCCUCUGUUGGGCAUCAGCUUUAGUGAUCAUGUCAUCCAUGCCUUUAUACCCCUGACAAGGUAUAUUGGGUCUUAUCGAUGGGGUGUAUACAUAGAACAAACAUGCAUUUAUACCCCUGACAAGGUGUAUUGGAUCCUCUCGAUGGGGAGUAUACAUCGGACUCUACGUUUAUCUCACGUUGUUUUAUGUCGGUUCAUAGUAGCUCCCACAAUCAGACCCUAGUGCAUUCUGUUGACACCCAAUUUUGACCCGCCACGAUAGGAAUUAACUUUUGUAGCUUCUUAAUUUUAACAAUUUGAAAUAAUUGGUCCUAUGAAAAACUCAAAAUGUUUCUCAAGUUUUUAAAAUGAUUUUACUUUUAUAUAAUAUCUUAACUAAUUAAUGUGUUUUAUAUAGGUACACAUAUUCGAUUAGUAGUUAUCGUGAAUAGUUGAAAUCGUCACAAAAAGAUAUUUUCAAUUUUCAAGAUUAAAUAUUUUAUUAAUUUAGUUUAGUCUUAAUUAUAGUUAUAAUUUUAAGACGAUUUGUUAAUUAUUUUAUUAUUAUUAAGUUUGAUUAUUUUAUUUCGUUAAGAUUAAGAAGCUCGUUAAUUAAUUAAAAGUAAUUCGUCUUAUUUAAUUCUUUCAUGAAUUAUAUCCAAUUUGGCUAAAUCCUUAAUUAGCUUGGCCGAAUUCGCAACUUGUAAAGCCAUGUCCUAAGUGCAAUUUUAUUACAUGACCUUAAAAUACAUUUUUUUUUGGGCCAUUAACCAAUUUCCAGCCACACUUUACAGCAACAAUACCAAAAGCCCAUUUCCCCUUUUGUUUUCCAAUUCAACCGACAACAAUUUCCUCCACCGACCCAGCCCAAAACAAAGAAAAACUAUACCCAUACAAUUACAAUACAUACACCUAAUACCCAGCACCAAACCUACCCGACCCCACCUUAUUUUAUUUUAUUUCUUUCUCUUCCUCGCGUGACCAAACGUGAAACCAGAAACAACGUCAAAAUACACGGAAGCCCUUCACAACGUUAACAUCCAACUCCAACGUCCCUUUCGGUUGGUACAAUCGCAACAAGCACGCCUCUGUCCUCAUUUCCCCUUUCGGAAUGAGCCAAAAUCUCAAGGAAAAGGUGUUGGCCCGAAUUGAUGAAGGAAUUCAAUUUUUGAAUUUGGAAUUCAUCCAAAAAUCCACCAGUUUCCCUCUUCUUUUUCAAUUCCAAUCUUUUCUCUUAUAAAUACCGAUCUCUUUUACUGUUUUAGGGGGUUCUUCUUGGACAUGAAUUUACCCUAAAAGAAAAAAAAACAGAGCGAAUUCCCAUCAAAAGAAAUAACCUUAGAGAAAGAAAAAUCUCUAGAAAUAGCUACAGAAAACAAAUCAAACUUAGCGAUUUUUUUCCGUUGGGAUUCGUCGGAGCUUGUCGGAAUCCGGUGGAGCUUCGCUCGUGGUGGUGGAAGCGUCCUCACCUGCUCGUCUCGUGUCUUAGUGUUGCUGCCCGGAAAAAGGUGAACCUUUCUCAGCUUUAUAAUGUGUUUUAUCAAUUCUUAGCUAAGUGUUCUUAGGAUUAUUUGAUUUUCAUAUGUUAGAAAUUUGUUAUGUUGAUGAUUUUUUUUAGCUGGAAAUGUUCUUCCUUUUGUCUACUGUUGGUAUCUUAAUAAUUAUUCUUUUAUUUUUAGCUUCCUUAGUCUUAGUUCUUGUCAAAAUGUUAUUAGUGUGAAGUCAUGGAAUAUUGGGGUAGUUAUAUUAGCAUGUCUUUAUGCUCAAUAAAUGAUGAAUGGAUUUCAACAUGAACCACUGCUGUUUGUUUCUUACUGACGUUAAAAUGCUUUAUAUUCUUCUUUCUUUUCUUUUCUUUUUUUUUUGUUUUUUUUUUAAAGUUGAGUGUUUCCGUUAGUUAUAUGAAGCCUUAAAAGGUUGAUUUCUUACUCUAUCAUAGAAUAUUGUAACUAGUUCCUUUGGGUAAUUUUAGUUUAAGUAUGUGUUGUUUAGGACUCUUCUUUAAAAUCCUUUGUUAACAUCUAAUGUGGUGCAGUAUUUGCUCUUAUUUGUACGAUUUUAUUAUGGAUUAAGCUUGACAGAGUGAGGUUAUUUCUCUAAUAUCUUUGGAAUCCUAAGUGUGAUGAUGAUUAUUGGGAGUUAACAUGUGUUUGGUUUGGGACUCAUUCAUAUCAUGGUGGGUUUGAGUUUUAUUUCUUCAUUAUUGUUAAAAUUUUCAUAGCUUUUUAUGGGAACCAUGUGAUUUGAUCCAAGCUUUUCAUGAUUAGAAUCCUAAUCUUUAUCGCUUUAUUUUUCUUGUCAUGAACCCCUCGUUUGAGUCUAUUCGGAUUCCAUCCUUGCAUUUCGAGAUGGGCCAUAAGGGCCCAAUAUCCUCUCUUCGUUGGAGUCAGCCCCCAUGUCAAAUUGUGAAGUUGACGGACAGGUUUUCGGAGUAAAACAUAGCUGGAAUUGGGAUAUUUUGGUGUCCAAAAGCUCAAAAAAGAGCUGUAUACUAUACAGCAGUAUACACUGCUAUACAGCAGUUGUACACAUGAUAUACAGGGCAGAAAAUAUGAAAUGCAGGUUGCAGGGGUCAGAACGGACUGUAUACACUCGGCAUACAGCACGAUAUACACGAAAAUGGAUCAAAAUAUGGCCUAUAUACACCGAUAUACACUUUUUGUAUACACAGGUCUUUGAGCGCGAAAAUGGGCUUAAAGUCCAAUAGAUUUGGCCCAAAUUUGGGCAUCCUCUUAUUAUUGCCAUUAUUUAUUUAUUCUCUAACCCAUUUUACGUGAUUUGGUUAUUUAACUUAAUUAAUCCCCUAAAGAUGAACCACUUUUAAUUACGAUAACUCAUUUUGUUUCAUUUAAUUAGUUUUCUUUAAACGACCAUUUUUUGAAAAAGUUUACUUUUCUUUCUAAAUAAUUUCAAAACAUUUAAAUUAAACGACUUAUAGGUUACAUCCUUUUUCUCGAAUUAAUCUUCAAAGUUAGUUGCAAAGUCUAUUUUUUCCCCGAAUUUGGGCAAAAGCCCGAGUUCAAAUUUUCUCCUCUCUCCUCUUAUAUUUAUUUGUUAUUUUAGUGACUAACUCUUUAUAUGAAUUGAUUUUAACUUAAUUAAUUUUUGGAAGAUAGUCGUUUCUCUUUAUAUUCAAAAGUUAAAAUAUUUAUUCUUUCUUAUAUAUACAACUUAUUUAUUACUUAGCUCAAUUUUAGUUUUGUCGAUAGUUAAGUUACCCUCCCCUUCAGAAAACCCUCCCUUUAGUCCUAUUUCCCUCAAGAUAAUUUAAAGGAUAAUAAUAAUAACAAUAAUAGAAAUAUAAAUAAUAAAUGGUAAUAAAAAAAAAUGAGUUUCUUUUACUUAAGUUAAAAUUUUAAAAUUAGUCAAAACCAUUUUGGUCAAAUCGUCGGUCAACCGCAAGUUAGCGGGCAUUCCGAGGGCCUAACACCUUCUCGGAAUGUACAUUGAACUUCGAACCCUUUUAUUUUCAAUUGAUUUUAUCUAUUUUAAUCUUUUGAAAACCCCUUUGAUUCUUUCUUGAUUUUUACUAAAAAUUAAGUGGCGACUCUGUCCUUUUGGAAAUUCGAUUUCUCUUAAACCAUAGGUUUAAUCGAUUUUUCGAAAACUCAGUCAUUUUCCUUGUAUAUAUAUUUUUAAAUAAAACACAUUCGAUCAAGUUUUCAGUUAUACUUCAGCAUUCAGUAUCAGUAUGUCAUGUUCAGAAUUAGUACUUGGUCAUUGCAUUUAGUUUAGUUUUCAGUAUAUUUCAGCAUUUACAUUCAGUUCAGAUUAUAUUAUUUCUCAGUAUGUUUUGUUCAGUUAUGUAUUUUGUUCAGUUAUACUUUAUUUCCUGCAUGCUCAGUACAUUCCAAGUGCUGAUGCAUACUUUGCGUUACAUUAUUUCAUGAUGUAGGUUCAGGUACUCAGCAUCCAAAUCACGCAUAGAUCAGUUUUCGAUCUCUAGUUCAGCAGCUUCAGUUGUGAGUCCUCAUACUUCGAGGACAAUAGACAUGUUUUACACUUUCGUCUUUUUAUUCAGUUUUCAGCUUUGCUAGAGUUAGUUGGGGCAUGUCCUAGCAACUUUAGUCAGUUAGAGGCUCUUUCGGACAUAUCAUUAGAUUCAGCUUUAGUUUUGAGUUUGAUCUUCCAGUUGUUAUUAAACUCAUAUUCUUUUAUAUAAUCAGAUUAGUAUUGGGUAUUCCCCACUUUCAGUUGAUUAUGGUUUUAAGCUUCCGCAUAGCAUAUUUUAUUCAGUAAUCUUUUAGUAUGCUUAUGAUAUGUUUGCUCAGGGUUAGCUUGGGGUCACUCAUGAUCCUAGGUCCAGUGUUUACGUUCAAGGGGGUAGCCUCGGGGCGUGACACUAUCUAACUAAUUUUACCUUCAUUAUGUCACGAUCCAGACCAUCGUGAGUCGCAUCCACACUAACCCUUAUGUCGGUGAACCAACUAAUAAUCCAACUUAGCCCAAGAAAUCUGUCACGAUUCAAAAACGGACAUGAUGACACUUAUCUAUUCCCACCAAGACAAAUCAGCAUUAAACCAACGAAACAAAAGAAAAAGCGAAAAGAUAAAACAAGAAAAAGAUAAAAGUAGAAAAAACUUAUUCAAGUUAUUAACACCCUAAAACCUGGUUGUCAUAUGAAUUGCUUCCCCAAAUCAUUACGAAGAUCCUCAUAAAGUUUUUUUCAAAUUUUUUUUUUGUUGUUUCAAGGCGCCAGAUCCAUGGAAAACUUAAAAAGUCACGUAAUUCCAAAAGGUCAACUUGUAAAUACAGAAAUAUGCAUUAAAAUAUGAUGAAAUUAUACGUGAUGUAUCCCUAACACAUUACGAAGGUCCUCAUAAAGGUUUUUCAGAAAAGCAUUUUGGGUGCUCCAAGGCUCCAGAUUCAUGGGCUAAAUACACACGAAAAAAUCAAAAAAGUCACAUAAUUCUUAAAAGUUGGUUCGUAAAUGAGAAAAUAGGCCUUAGAAAAUGGUAGGACUAUAUGUAACGCUUCCCCAACUCAUUACAGAUGUCCUCAUAAAGUUUUUUCAAAAAAAAGAUUUUAGGUGCUCCAAGGUGCCAAAUCCGUGACUAAUUAAUACACAUGAAAAAGUAAGAAAGUCGCGUAAUUUCUAAAAGUUGGAUCGUAAAUGCGAAAAAUAAGCCUUAAAAAUGGUGGGACUAUACGUAAUGUUUCCCCAUUUCACUACGAAGGUCCUCAUAAAGUUUUUUCAGGAAUAAAAUUUAGGUGCUCCAAGACACCAGAUCCAUGGGCUAAUACACAUGAAAAAUUGAGAAAGUCGCGUAAUUGCUUAAAGUUGGCUCGUAAAUGCAAAAAUAGGCCUUAAAUAUGAUGGGACUAUACGUAAUGCUUAGCCAACUCAUUACGGAGGUCCUCAUAAAGUUUUUGGAUGCUCCAAGGCUACAGAUCUAUGGCUAAUACACAUGAAAAAUCAAGAAAUUUGCGUAAUUUCUAAAAGUUGGCUCAUAAAUGCGAAAAUAGGCCUUAAAAUGGUGGGACUAUGCAUAAUGCUUCCAUAACUCAUUACGAAGGUCCUCACUCCUCAUAAAGCUUUUUCAGAGAAAAAAAAUUGGGUGUUCCAAGGCUACAUAUCUAUGGGCUAAUACACAUGAAAAACCAAGAAAGCCGGAUAAUUCAUAAAAGUUGACUCGUAAAUGUGAAAAUAGGCCUUAAAGAAAUGGUGGGACUAUACGAAUGCUUCCCCAACUCAUUACGGAGGUCCUCAUAAAGUUUUUCAAAAAAAAAUUGGAUGCUCCUAGGCGCCAGAUCCACGGACUAAUACACACGAAAAAAUAAGAAAGUCGCGUCAUUCCUUAAAGUUGGAUUGUAAAUGCGAAAAUAGGCCUUAAAGAAAAGGUGGGAUUAUAUAUAAUGUUUUCCCAACUCAUUACGGAGGUCCUCAUAAAGGUUUUUCAGAGAUUUUAUUUGGGUGUUCCAAAGCCACAGAUCUAUGAGCAUUACACACGAAAAACCAAGAAAGUCACGUAAUUCCAAAAAGUUGGCUCGUAAAUGUGAAUAUAGGCCUUAAAGAAAUGGUGGAACUAUACGUAAUGUUUUCCCAACUCAUUACAUAGAUCCUCAUAAAGUUUUUUUUUUUUAAAAAAAAAAUGGGUGCUUCUAGGCGCCAGAUCCAUGGGCUAAUACACACGAAAAAUCAAGAAAGCCGUGUAAUUCCUAAAAAUUGGCUCGUAAAUGCAAAAAUAGGCCAUAAAGAAAUGGCGGGACUAUACGUAAUGCUUCCCCAACUCAUUGCGGAGGUGCUCAUAAAGUUUUUUCAGAAUUUUUCCAAAGCCACAGAUCUAUGGGCAUUACACACAAAAAACAGAGAAAAUCACGCAAUUUUUAAAAGUUGGUUGUAAAUGCAAAAAUAACUACACAAAAGUUUAAAUUUUGUUUAUUGAUCAUAAUUUUGAAAACUUUUUCAAUAGAAUCAAUUGUUACAUAAACUAUCAAAAUUAUUCUAAAUCAUUCUUUUACUUAUAUAAUAUUUCGUAAUACUUUUAAUUACAAAAAUGUAUAUUGUAGUGAUUAUUACUUUUAGAAGACAUCCUAAGUUAAGACAAUAUUUUUUAAAAUUUAAUUAUUUGUUAAUUUAAUUAAUUUGAGCUUGAAAUGUUUAAUAAAACACCUCAAAUAAUUGAAGACAAUCUUACCUAAUCAAUAUUAAAACAUGGUUGAUUCAAAUUAAAGUAAAUUAUAUAAAUUAAGAAAUAAAAAGUAACUGUAAUAAUUAGUAAGAGAUUGUGGGUAAGAGAUUAACAAAUAAUUAAUAGUAACAAUAAAUGCAUAAUUUUUUUUUAUAUUCUACUUUGGUAUUUUGUUUCUUCUAAGUGUUAAAUACGGUGCUUCUUACAAUGGCCUUCAUCAAAUCUGGUUUUAUGUAUAUAUUUCCUUCAUCUUUUGUCCGCUCAGUACUUCUCUAAAGCCAACCCCCCCCCCCCCCCACAAAAAAAAACAUUUGUCCUCAAAUGCAUAUAACAAAAUAUCCAGAANNNNNNNNNNNNNNNNNNNNNNNNNNNNNNNNNNNNNNNNNNNNNNNNNNNNNNNNNNNNNNNNNNNNNNNNNNNNNNNNNNNNNNNNNNNNNNNNNNNNNNNNNNNNNNNNNNNNNNNNNNNNNNNNNNNNNNNNNNNNNNNNNNNNNNNNNNNNNNNNNNNNNNNNNNNNNNNNNNNNNNNNNNNNNNNNNNNNNNNNNNNNNNNNNNNNNNNNNNNNNNNNNNNNNNNNNNNNNNNNNNNNNNNNNNNNNNNNNNNNNNNNNNNNNNNNNNNNNNNNNNNNNNNNNNNNNNNNNNNNNNNNNNNNAACCCCCCCCCCCCCCCCCCCCAAAUAAUUAGACAUAAAAAACAACUUAAAGAUAUAAAGAUUCAAUUCAAGCAAGCAACUUGUGAUGUCCUCACAUAACGCAUCAACAAUAUUCAAACUUAUAACUACGUUAAUAGAAUUUGGAAGAUAUUUUUAUCGGAAAAACAACAUUAGUAAAGGGAGUUAUCGAAGACCCAGGGCUCGUGCAAGAAAAGUUCACGACCAUUCAUUUGCACGGCCCCUGCAGCUACAUCCUCUGCACGCUUUCUUGCGACUUCAGCCUUUCUAGCUAAUGCAUCCACGUCCUGAAAAUGAUACCAAAUCUGUCACGACUCAUGAGGACUAUAACGAAAAUACUACAACAGGUUUCUCUUGAGUAAAACAGAUAAACCACUAGCAACAAAGUCCUGAAAUCUACAGAACUCCUAGAAUCUACAACUAUAGGAACAACAACCAAAAUAGAUUUAAAAAAGGACAUCUACAAUAAAGGAAGUCAACGAACAAAAGCAAACUUUGUUACAGCUAUUCAUUCAAUGAAAUUCCUCCUUACUUAGGGUGAAAACAAUUUAUCCGACUUAAAUCAUAGUGAAGGUGAUAUUGCUAUCACAAAGGAUAUUCAGUUUAGUUGACUAAAAUGAAUGCCUAACCUUACCAAAGUGUUAUAAAUUAUACAAGUACUUCUAGAAAUAAACUUUUAGAAAUGGCCUAAAAUAUUUUGAAGGAAUUGGUAAUGAAAUUCCUUGAAUGAGGAAUGCAACAAAAUGAAGACCAUAAAACAAGAAUAAGAAUUUGUGAGAACAUCUAUGUUGCUCGGACUCUUCAAACAUGUCAAUGGAUACGUGUCGGUUUCUCCAAAAGUGGUGUAAUUUUGGAGAAUCCAACACGGGUACGGCAUUAAAAGUGAAGAGUCUGUGCAACAGAACAUUAGUGAGACUGUGAGAGUUGAUUUCCUCAUUCCAACCUGAGCACAAAACUGAAAUUCCCUUUCCAAUCUUUCACUACUCCAAUGAACUUCCUUUAUUUGGUGAUUUACAGCAUAGUUAAAUGAUUGAAGAGUUUAACAAGGUGAAAGUGAUUUUCUCAACAGAAAAAGAAGGUGAAUGUGUUUUAAAAUCCUUUUAAUUUUUCCAGCAAAUGAAAAUAGGCUAAAAUAUAUUAUUACAUGCAUCAACAACUGGACCCAGAACAUUUCUAGUAAUUCCCAUUAAUUUAUAUCAAUACAUACUUGAGUCUUUGACCAAGUUUUAAGAAGAAAACUAGAAAAUUUGUUCAUAUACAGGCUAAUAACUGAUUUCAGAUUGACAUGAAAAAUGAAACUUGAGAACCAUAGAAGGAAUGGAGUCUAUCUAUGAGAAACGAAUAGAGAAAUAAAGAUUCUAAUUAAAUUGGAAACUCUGGAGAAAAGAAAUGAAUCACACAAUCUGAAUGAAGAAGAGUGUAGGCAUAAAAUGGAAGUAGUGUUGUUAAAAGCUCGUAUCAGGUACACUUGAGCCGUAAAAUCACUUAAAGCCAAGUUUUCUGCUUUCUUCACUUAGGUGGCGCUUUAUUUUAUUGUAUGUGACAGAGUGCUAAGGUGUGCAUCUCAGCAUCCAUGAAAUUUGGUCUUUAGUUGCCAGUACAAACAAUUAACAUACUUGGUAAACUGAUACAUUAAAUAGCUAAAAAAGUUAUGAACGAAUAUUUAGUGAUUAACAAUAAGAAAUUACAAUUUCAGAACGAGAACUAGCUCCGGAUAACAUAAAAACUAUGUUGCUCGGACUCUUCAAAAAUAUCAACGGGUGUAUUGGGUCCUCCAACAGCAGUGCAUUCUUGGAGGACUACACGAAUGCAGCAACAUAUUUUGGAGAGCCCGAGCAACAUAGUAUAAAACUGCAUCUCUUCACCUUAAUCAAAAUUAUAAAGUGGUCUGUACACUUGACUGACAUGACUUUUCAAUCAUAAACACAUUUUCAAAAAGCGCAUACUUGUCAUUUUACAACUCCAAUUCCCAAGGGAAAAAAAGUUCUAGAGGAACUCAAGGACAACAUAUCAAUAGGUCUAGUACGAGGAAUACACGUAAUUGCACAAAUUGCUGAUUUUGAAGGAGAUCAUUCACCAGGUGGAUAUACAUUCCACAGACAACCAUAAUAGGGAACUCGAUACAGUCAAUCGAUCAAACUAAGGUUCAAUCCCAAACUAGUUGCAACUAACUACUUGAAUAAUCUAUAUCAAUUACCUCUAUCGACCUAUUUAACAUAAAACAUUAAUUAAUGUACCUAAAAUCAAAGCUAAUCCAAGUUUAACAACCAAAUUAUUAACUAUAGGAAGCUAGAACCUAGAUUUUAAAACGGAUAUGACCUCGUUCUUCGUCUUAAAUAUAAUAGAAUUGCUUCCCUGAUUUAGCUUCUCAUAAUUCAACCAUAUUAAACUACCACAAAGAUUAAUUAUUCAUCUUGUUGAAAGGAAAGAAAACAACAUACAAUAUAAUCUCCUGGUAAUACAUAUUGCACGGGAAAUCUUAAUAACUCAGUUGAUUGGCUACGUAAACUGUUCGAUUCACCAUCUUGUAAUCCCCUAUACCGUUAACAUGAAGAGAAGAAGAAGAUACCUUUUGGCGUUUCCAGGAGAGAAAUUGGGUUUGUGUAAUGCGAUUUGAAUUAGGGUUUUGAAUUGAUUCUGGUUGAUCAUCUUUUGCUUCUUCUCCCAUUUUUUCCCCAAUAUUUUCUCUUUCUCCAAUUGAAGAACAAUUAUCUCUUCUAUUGUCGGGUCGGGCUAUUUAAAUUGCCUCUUUAAAGCUUCAAACGAUGUCGUUUAAUGGCAAACCCAAAUAAUAAUUAUACGGAAAAUGGUUUAAUACAUACUCUUAACUUAAUACCGAUUAUUCGAAUUUUAAUAAAAAAGUUACUAAAAGCUUUGUUUUGAGGUUUUUUUUUAAAACAGACCGAUGGUAAAUUAAUAAAUUAUAUUUAUACUUUUUGGUACAUAAAGUCCUUGACUUAGGGUUAAAUUUCAUAUUUUUACUUCUAGUUGUCUAAAACUCUUGGUUAUUCUAGAAUGUGACAGCGUUUGUUUUUGAGCAAGAUGUAAUUUGUCAAUUCAUGUGCAUGGUUCAUUUGGUUUAUCAUUGUUUUUAAGUGAUUUUCAAUUUUUUAAAAAUUGUGUCAAAUCUUACGGGUUAAACAGAUAACCGAACCGAAAAUGAUCAAUAACCGAUAAACUAAUAAUCGAUAAGUCAGUAUCUUAAUGAAACUAUAACGGUUUAGAAUACUUACAAAUCAAUAAAUCGAAUCGAUAAACUUCAAAAUUGAACCGAACUAUAAAUACACAACCCCUAAUCCAAAUUCACCUUUACGAGUUUCUAUAAUCCCUAAGCUCUAUUUUAGGGUAUUAUUUAAGGUAUUAUUGAUUGACCUGAACAAGUAAGUUGUUAAAUCUUAGCAGGAUAGGUUCAAUUAUAUAUGCUCUAAGUUUAGUUAUAUAUGUUUAUAUAUAGGCAUAAUACGUAAACAACCACUAUAACUUGAUUUUAGCUGACAAGUAAGCACUUCAAUUUUGAGAGUGCACAUCUAAACAUCUCAACUUGGUCUCAACUAUCAACUAAAUACUCCAACUUGUCUCAACUGUAUAUCAUGGACACCUGAUGUUGAGAUAAUCAUUUCAUAAGUUACGUUGGAGUGCUCAAUUGACACAGUAGAGAAGAAUUGAGGUAUUUGGAUAUACAUCCUCAAAGUUAGAGUGUAUAGUUGUCCGUUAAAAUUAAGUUAAAUUGUCUAUCUAUAUAUUAUUUCGUGACGAUAAUCUUUCAAGAUUUUGAUUUAUCAACUUUAUAAAUAUGAUGAAAUACAUAAUUUGUGGUGGCUCUUUUCCAUUAAUUCUUUGUUGUUAAUGCUUUGUAUACACAAGAAUAAGAAGCAUUUAAUAACAACAUAUAUAAAAUUUCAACAAUUGGUAGAGCUAGGAUCAGCUAUUUUGAGACUCAAGCAGGCAUCUACAGCGUCCCCAAUAGUAAGGAAAAUCCAUCCUUUGCCUAGUUUGUCAAAACAUUUUGCUGUCUUCAUUUUGUUAAUUACUCUUAAUCUUGGGUUAGCUAUUGUUAACUGCAAAAAAAAAAAAAGACAUCAUAUAAGAGUUAGUAUAUAUUGGUAGUAAAAUUAGUAAUCCGAAAAAUAAGACAAAUAAUCUGUUAUAACUUUCGAUAGUAUGUUAGUAUAGAAACUAUUAAUGUAUAAAAGGAUAGUCGGGUGUAUAAAACAUCAUGUAUUGACGCAAGAUCCGAGGAAGGCCCCGUGGACCACCAGAGGCGGACCCAUGCGUAAUGGGUUGGGGGUGCACGCGCACCAGUUAACUUCAAAAAUAACUUGUUAUAUAUAUGGAUGUAUAUCUUGAAGAACUAUCAUAUAUUUUAGAAGGACCCCUCAAACAUAUCAGCUUCACUCAAUUAUGUCAUUUAUAUUAUAUUUAUACGUUAGAACAUCAAACGAGAGUGUGUUGUGUGACAUCGCUUCAACGGCUUAAAUUUAGAGAAAAGAAUAUGAGAAACUUACUUGUAUGCUUUGUGAAACCAAUUCCCUGUGCAACUCUUCUAACAUCACUAUUCCUGAUGUAUCCACACUCAUUACAUCUGCAAACCAAUUAGAUCAAAAUCAUCUUAGUAGUAAGUUGUUAUAACUGUAAAGAUAUGGCACUUGAGCCUAACUCAACCUCAAAAGCUAGCUCAUGAAUGUGGGACUUUUACCCACUCGAACAACGACAAACUCAUGAGGGGGGAGGGGGGGGAUUGGGAAAUUCUACUAGUUAUGAAACUUACUUGACAUGUCUAGAACUGCAAAAUGAACAUUUUCCUUUGUGUUCUCCUCAUUACCAUUUGUGUGUGUCACCAAUUUCAUAACCCUAGAAAUAAAUAAGUUGAAAAGUAAGUAGGCUUGAAGUUUAUUGUCUUAAUUUCCACUUUGAUAAGAGCGCGAAUUAUAUAUAUAUACCUCUCUCUUAUGGAAGUAGAAUUUGCAAAACAAAGUGAACCAGAGUUGAUUCUGAUGAUCAAGAUGCCUGAAGUACUAGUGGCUCUUGGAUAUUGUGUAAUGUCACAAAACGUAUCCAGCGUCCCAGGAAGUCUGCCUUGUACUUCUGUACUUGCUCGAAUCGUGUCUAGUAUUAUUCUAGCAAAUGAAAUGCCAACCUGCAAUAGACCAAAUAGACAUUACUAAAUUAGUUGAGUGACUUUGUAGGUGGAAUGACAGUACUUAAGUGACGACUUCACAGUUGAAAUGACAAUAGUUGAGUGACUUUUCUGUUACAAAGCAAAGUUGAGCAACUUUCUGAGUACCAUUAGUUGAGUGACUUUUGUAUUACAAAACAACGUCGAGUGACUUUCUGAGAAAUUGAUUCAAAUAUAAUACUAUCAAUCAAGCAUUUGUGAUUUGAUUUUCUACGGAUGAUGUUUUUUAGUCUUUGUUUAGUUUCAAGUUGCAAAGAAAAAGACAGAUGACCAGAGAGUUGACAUGAAUCUUGUAUUUUUUUUUGAAGGACAAGAGUUAAAAUUCUAUUAUAGCAUGGUGCCCACAAAUGACUCAGAGGGCUAUCCAUCUUUUUGGCAUUUCCUCUGGAUUUUACUAAAUUAAACUAUUUACAUGUGAGUCACAAGAUGUUUGUUUGAGGGGACAAGUAUAACAUUUGUUUAAUGCAAGUUGUUUUCUUAUAUUAAGUAAAGUCUUGUGAAUACAGAGAGAGAGAGAGAGACUUCAAAAUUACCGCGAUUAGAAGGCCAAUUUCGACAGAGACAAAUAGUACUCCAAAGAAGGCACCAAUGCAAACAAUGAAGUCCAUCUUGUCUACUUUCCAGAUAUGAUAUGCUUCAUUUAUGUCGAUCAAUCCAGGAAGCGCGGAUAAAAUAACCGAUGCAAGGAUAGCUAAUGGAGUGUAGUAUAAAAGCUUGGUUAACAAUUCCAGAGAUAUGAAAACUGUGAUAGCCAUAACUAUGUUUGAUACCACAGUUUCACAUCCUGCACUGAAAUUCACUGCUGUCCUUGAAAAUGAACCUGUAAAUUUUUUGAAGCAGAACUUAUUACUCCCUCCGUUUCAAUUUGUUUGUACUGUGGUCUUUAAGUAACGAUACGUAGAAUGUACCAAAAUGUCCUUUAAUUUGAUGGUCUUAAACAUGUCGUGUGAAAAGUUAGAAUUAAAGAGUUGCCACAGAAAUGAAAAGAGACAUUCUUUUUUGAACGGGCUAAAAGGAAAAGUAAGACAAACAAAUUAAAACGUCAGAACUCGUAUGACUUAUCAUAAGGAUAUUCAAGAUUUUGAACAUAAUAUGUGAAAGUAUAAGGAAUUGAGAUUUCACCAGUUGCUGUAUAGCAAGAAGUUAAAGAUCCAACAAUGUUCAUGAAUCCCAUGGCUACCAUUUCUUUGUUGCCAUUAAGAUGAUAGCCUUUCAUCGAAGCAAAUGAUCGUCCGACAGCAAUUGCUUCCUGAGGAAAACCAAGAGCAUUUCAACAUUAUGAAUGAAUUCUCCUAAUUUAGUGAUCUUUAGGGAAUCAAAAAGGGAGAACAAAGAGUAGAGACAUACAGUUAGAGCCACAAGACCGCAAAUUAGUCCAAUUUUCACGACUUGUCCAAGGUGUGGACCAUUGAACUGUAAUUGAUGAGCUGAACUUGGAUUCAAACCCCCUUAGAAGUGUUUUACAAUUUUAACUCCAUGUUGAUCAGCCUUCGUUAAAUAAACCAACAAGGUGGCUACGAUCACCGAUAACAAAGGAGCAAUAGCUGGUAGCCAGAAUAGUUUCUUAUUCCUUUUACCCUGCAGUAUAUUUCAGGUGGCCAAUAGAUUAGUGUAUGAAACAGGAAAAAAAUCGCCAAAUUUGAUCGAUAACAAACGAGUACACCUUAUUACUUACUAUAAAUCUUGUUGCGAGGAUGAAGAUGAGGAAUGAACAGCCAAGUAUAAAAUUCAUAGGAGACAACUGAAACAAGUCCAACGGAAAUCAGUAAGAUGAAAACGCGAAAAAUCAAUUGAAAAUAAGUUCAGAAACUUACUGUCUCAUCAUGAAAUGAUCUGAAAACAGCUCUUAGCACAGAUACCACAUCAGUUUUAUUAGUAAAGUGACUAAUUCCUAUGAGACUUUUUAGUUGUUGAAGACCAAUUAUAAUGGCUGCACCUCCCAUGAAUCCCACUAUGGCAGCAUGUGAAAGAAAAUCCACAAGAAAUCCCAACCUGCGCACAUACAUCAACAUUAACAUACAACAACAACAACAAUAUACCCAGUGUAAUCUCACAAGCGGGGUCUGCGGAGGGUAAAGUGUAUGCAGACCUUAUCCCUACCUUGAGGGUAGAGAGGUUGUUUCCGUUAGACCCUCGGUUGCAUAUCAAAGAAGAUCAAAGAAAAGGAAAGGAAGAAAUCAUGGCAAAAUACUAUAGAAAGCAUAAAAAAGGAACGGUAACUACAACAAAAUAGUGCAAUAAUCAAAGUACAAGAGACAGUAGAUAGUAAAAAAUAUCGAAGGACAAGAAACUACAGGAGAAAUACGAUGACUACUAGUAUGGAAAUGAUAAGCAAGACAACACUCUACUACCUACUAACCUUUUAUCAUAAUCUGCGUGUCCUCCACAACCUCCUAUCUACAUCUAAUCAAGAUUAACAUACAUAUUCCAAAAAGAGUUCCUUUCAAAUAGAAACUUUACCUUAAUAGACCAAAUGCAGCCUGGAAAGUACCAGCAAAGAAAGUGACAGUAAAAACAAGGCUUGUAUAAGCAAUAGGAUCAACUGCAGGAUCUACAAUCUCGGUAACCAUUGCAGAAAGCAGUAGUGAUACAACAGCAACAGGACCAAUAGCGAGCUCUCGCGAACUCCCCAUCACAGCAUAUAUCAAUGGUGGCACAACACUAGUGUCUAAAACAACAAAAGUGAAAACAUAUAAGCUUAGAAAAAACCAAGAUGAACAUACAACAAUUACACUUGUUUUGGAAACUUACAUAAGCCAUAUUGAGGUUCAAGGUUUGCAAGAUUAGCAUAUCCUAUACUCUGCAAGAAGUAUAAUUUUAAAUUCAACAUUUCAAAAAGUGUAUGGAACAAACACUAAUGCUAAGCUCUGUGACCAGUCUCAUCUAAAAGCUUAACCUGGUCCCACAAUUCCACAUGGUAUCAGAGUAAGUAAAGGUCCUAUGUUUGUCACCAUCACCUAUUAUGCCCGCACAUGAGAGGAUGUACUUAAAAACGUAACUAAGAGUAAAUAAAAGUGUGCUUUCUCGAACUGUUUAAGAUUUUAGAUGAACUGGUCACACACAAUUCAAGUACGAACACCUUAUCUAUAUUUGCUAUACCUGAGGAAUGCAGAUACUAGCAAGAGUUAAGCCAGCCAACAAAUCAUGCUUGAACAUAUUAGGUUUAUAAUUCCUUCCCCAACUAAGAAUUGGAAAUAACCCUUGCAAGAAUGAAAAGACCCCAGCUUUGCAUUGCUUUGAGUUUGAAGGAAAAAAAUUAUUUUUUUGUGGCAAAACAGUUUCACUAACUGAGUUCAUGAGCUCAUUGCAAAAACUUGGUGGCUCUGGAGAAUUCAGCAGCCACUGAGUCCUCUCAUUCCUUCCAUCAGCAUUGAGCUGCAGCUGCUGCAGCUCGAUGCUGAUGCUCUCAUUUGGCUGUGGACACAUUAUAAUUUUGUUUUGUUGAAUGUUGAACUAAAUGCUCUCAUAUAUCAAGAGUAUGAACCAUGUGUUCCAUAUUUAUACAUGUCCAAAACAGUCACUACUGGGAAAGGCAUUUGCCUUUUGUCAUGUUAGUGCUAAUAAUAGCAAUAAACUAAUAAGAUAGAAGUAAUAAUUAUUGUCAAAACUAGCAGCCUUAUGGUAUACAAAGAAAUCAAAUGUACAUUAAAUUAUAGCAAUUAUUCUAUUUUUAAUAUUCAUCACUAAUAAUUAUGAUUUUUAAUUUUUGUGAUUCCUUCUCAUGACAAUAAUUAGAAUUAAAAAAGAAUGUCAAAGCAUCUAAAGAAAAAGGAUUAAUCUUUAUCCAUAAAUCCACUAAAGCAAUUCCAACAAGACAUAGUUGCACUCAGAAUCGCUAAAGUCUUUAGCGAUGAAAGAUUGGAUAUAAAUAGUCAUAUUUAUUAUUUUUCACUAAAUAUAAUAUAGCAGCAAUUAUAUUAUUAUCGUUGAAUUCUUUAUUUUUUGAAGUGUGGCAGCAUGAAUAUUUACUUUUGCCCUCGGUUAAUAAUUAAAUCACCUGAUAAUCACUUAUUUCCAAAAUUUGUGUGGGGAAAAUCAUUUUUAUUUUUUAUCUCACAGAAAAUCCUCUUCGAUCUGCUUAGCCUUAUCUCCCUCUAAGGAGUAUUUUAGUGAUAGGUUCUACAGGAACUAGACCAUCCUAUUUGGUCAAAUACCUAGUAUUAAACUUCUAUAUAUGUUCCUUUCAUUGUGAUAUAUUUGAACAAAUAUUUGGAUAAAAGCAUAAAGGUUUUCUUCCUAAUGAGAUCGAUAUUGAUGAUAGUGACGAUAUUGAUAUUAGUGACAAUAUUGAUGUUAUCGAUUGUAACCUUGAUACGAAAUUAAAUUGCUAACUAGGAUAAACAGACUAACUAUUUUUUUCUCCUGCCAACUUCUUUCCAUCACUUAUGUUUCUGUGUUACAUAAUUGGACCCAAUGUGCAUUAAUUUGACUUAAAUUCAAUUAUUAAAAAAAUAGUACUCCCUCCGUUUAUAUUUAGUUGUCCACUUUAGAAAUGGCACACAGAUUAAGGCAACAAUGAUUAGCAUAGUGAAGUUACAAUUUUACCCUUAUAGUACAAUUUACAAUUUCAAAAUAAAUUCACUCAAGAUAACUAAUCAAUGUUGGGAAGUUCAUAAGUUUAUUUACUUUAUUUAUGACAACUUUAUUUAAAUAAGGGUAUAAUAGGAAAAAAUUUAUUGUCCUUUCUUGAUUUGUCAAAAUGGACAACUAAAUAGGGACAACUAAAAGAGGAAAUAUGGACAACUAAAUAGGGACGGAGGGAGUAAUUAGCUUACAAUUAGUUAAGGUUAAUUAAUACUUCUUCUCUCCCUAAUUACUUGUCCACUUUUCCUUUUAUAGUUGUCCCUAAUUACUUGUCCAUUUUGACAAAUCAAGAAAGGAUAAAUUUUUUUACCUAUUAUACCCUCAAUUAAAUAAUUAAUUACUUUGAAAAAUGUAGAACUUUUCAUCCACUUUAUAAUUAAUAGGGAUAAAAUGAUAAAUUUACUAUGUCAUUAACUAUUUUCUUAAUAUGUGUAUUAAUUAAAAAAUGAACAAAUAAUUAGGGACAGAGGGAGUACUAAUGGCAGUCAUCUUAAUUUUUUCACGUGUUAAAAUAAUCAAUAUCAACUACUAUAAGUUGACAAUUCAUUAUAAAUUUCAAAUUAAACAGUCAGUACAUACCUCAGCAAAGUACUAAUUAACCACAUGUCGAUCCUAUGUCCCAUUGCCUAUUAUUUCAAUCAUAAUUAUUAUAUUUAUGUUAAUCUCUAUCCACAUUUUUUUUGUUUUCAUUCUUGAUUUUUUCUUUAAGUAGUUGAGCAUUAUAAUUAACCCCACUUAUUAAUGAUAUCCUAAGCAAUUCAUGACACCCGUGACCCCCUUAAUACUAUUUUUAAGUGAACAAUAUAUUACGAGGAAAUGAUCUCUUAUAAUUAUUUGUAAGUUGAAUAAAAGAAAAUGAUUAUUUUAGAUUUUUUAUAUAUAAAAAAUAAAGAUUAAUCUGAUAAAAGAAUAUAAAAUAAAAAAAGAAUUUGUAAAAUGCUACGGAAUCAAAUCUGUAUUGUGACAAAUAAGGAGAAUAAUUUGAAGUUUAAUUACUUAAAAGCUGUUUAGACAUCUCUUUCCUAAGUUAUUGUUGGUGUUUAGCAAAGAAAUUAGAAAAAUAAGAGAGAAAAAACAUUGCAAUACUAACAAAGGAAACUAUUUUAUUAAUAAUACAUUUUCGACACAUUCUCUCACCUUGAUUUUUUUUAUUUAAUAUAUUAAGGGGUCAUGGAAACAGAUAAUGCCAAUUUUUAUUUUUUAUUUUGAUAAAAUAGUGCCAUAAAAUAAUUCAAUGGUUGGUCAGAGGGAUUAGAAAUGGGAAAGGGUUAUAUUUGUUCCUUUUAUAAUUAAAAAAAAGUUAUAUUUAUCAUCUGUUAUAUUUUUAAAUAAAUAUUACUAUUAAAAUUAUGAAAUUUAUCAAUAAUCUCUAGCUAAUCCGUCACUAAAUUUUUUUAGCUAUAUAUUUUUUCUUAUAAUCCUUUAGCAAUCGUCAUUAAUCUGUAGAUAAAUGAAUUAGCAGGAGAAUUUGUAUUAUUUAACUAUGAAAUUUUAUUCGUCACUAAUUUCUUAUUUUCUAGCCAUGUUUAUCCCAACAAACAUACUUUAGAAUUCUCUCUCUCUAUAUAUAUCCCUCACUCAUUAAAACUUUAUUUUCAGCUUUGAAAAGCCAGUAUCAUGUGGGAAAAAAAUCAUCUUUAUCACAUAAAGCGAAAAACAAAUUAUUAAGGACCAUUAAUUUAAUUAUCGAUUUAUCACAUUUUACAAACUGAUAAUUUAAUAUAGUCAAUAAAGUAAACUAAUAAUAUAUAAAAUUGGAUCGAACCAAUCUAAACUUAGUGGACAUCAUGAAAGAUGGUUGGUUGAUCUGAUACACCGGCAAUUUGUCUAGUUUUUGUCUCUGAAUAUAUUUAGACUUUAGUCACCUAAAAAUGUUGCAUUCCUGGCUGAUUAUAUUAUUUUAAGAUACAUUAUUUAGUAUCUUCUUGCAUAUUUAUAAAAUUUUAUUGACCAUGAUAAAUUGAGAUACGUUGUUAAUUUUAACUACUUUUGUUAAAAAUUUAUUGACCAUGUUAAACUUUCACAUAUACUUCGAAAGAAGAAAAAAUUCAAUUUUUGAAUUGUUUUGCAUAUCAUCUAUAAUUUUAACUAUUUUUGUUAAAUGAUGAAUUUAGUAAAAGUUGAUUCUGCUUAACAAAUGUACAUUGUUGAUACUAUAUUACUGGUGACUAUUCACUAAUAUAUUAUUAUUAUUAUUAUUAAUUUUUUUCAUCACUUAAUAAUGCAUGAAUAUGUGUUAGGUCAAGUUUAAUUUAUACGAUUACUCAUACUUAAUGGUAAUAUAAUUUUUUAAAUAAUUUAAAUAUAACAUAUUUUCUGUGUGACGGGAUAAAAAAUGAACAUUUUAAUUGAUGUGAGGUUGCAUGUGUUGAGUCAUAUAUCAUAAGGAUCAAAAUCAACAUUUACUAAUAUUUGAAAUACCAAAAAUGACAUAAUGUUGGAUAUUUAUUUUUUUAGUUUUCUAUUGAUUUAGAUAAUGAAUACAUAAUUUUGUUUUAUUUUAGUCAUGUAAUCAUGAAUAUUUAUUAGAGUUACUUAUUCUAGCAUAACUUAGUACUUUUCUAUUAUGAUCAUUUUUAUUAUAAUUUAUUAAUUAAUAAUAUUUAUUUUAUGUGAUUUUAUUAUCUUUUUUGUUGGAUACUUUACUACAAUGUAUCAUUAUUCAUCUCAUAUUUUAUGUUAUUUUCUUAAGAAGCCAUUAUAGUUAUAUUUUACUAGGUAUGUGAAGUACAAGUUAUAAUAUGUUUUAUACGAAGACUUUAUCGAGAAAUAAAAAUAUUAUACUUUUAUUAAUUUAAUUGAUUUAUAAAUUUAACAAACCUAACACAAAUAGUUUGAUAUUUGAAAAACUUGACGUUAGAAUGUAAGCGUCCACUAAUAGUCAAUGGACUAGGUCCCUUGACAGAAUAACAAUGCGAAAAUAAACAACUGAAAGUAACACAGGAGCUUUACAUGAAAACCUCCUUACUCAAGGGGGAGGAAAACCACGACAUGUCUCACAGGACUUUCAACUCAACUUCGUUUCACUAAAAAUAGAGCUCAGAUUCAUAUUACAGACUUCAGUAAUCUAGGAAUUAACCUACUAAUCCUACUAAUCCCUUUCCCCUUGUUAUAACGACUCUGUGACCAGAUAAGAACUAAGCAACACCUAUGUUGCCCACUACACCAGCUCUCUCCGGCUGAUAUAAACUUCAACAAAACACCAAGGCUAACUCAAGCCAUCAACUCAGAUCUCAAAGAAAGGAGAAGAAUCAAGCAGUAACUCUACUGCAACCACAUAUCAACUAACUCUAGUUGACGCUCCUAAGCAACUCGACCCAAGAAAACAUCGAAAAGAGACUUGACUAAAAUAUAGAUGAUUUGACUAACUAACUCUAGUUAAUCCGACUCAAACAGAGGAUUUAGACAAGCAACCAAUCUAGUUCCUUUAUAACCCGGGAAUAGAUCUACAGAUGAUAAACACACAAAAACAAUAAACCUAGAUGACGGCUAAGAACAAAGAUAACUCUAUCAGGUCCCUUGCUUUCUUCCGGAGAAUGUUUCUUCAAAGAAGGGCCUUUUCGAGCUUGUGAAUUUUUCAGAAUUCAAAAACUAGCUUGUGUUGUUAAGUGAAGAGGCUGAUAUAAGAUGGACGCAAAUCCUUAGAGCAAUACAAUUGGAUUAGAGUUUGCACCCCAAAAGAUGUGCACCAACCACAACAGGUGUGCUGUAGAGUUGCAGCUUUAGCCAGUUGUCUUUUUCAUUGUACAAACACUCUCGGUCUCUCCUGGGAUUUGGUCCCUUACUAGAACUCGUAGUUUGUUAAAUCAUUAAAACUUCAUAGACAGUUCAAAAUAACACUUAAAUCAUCCUGACUUAUACGCACACCCCAACUAUGAACAUGUCACAACUGAUGUUUCCCUAAAUGUAUUUAAUUACAAGGUUUUACUACCUUGACCUCUUACAAUAUGUAUAAAAUAACGUCAUCAAUAGUGUUUUUAUUUUAAAAUUAAUGCGUAUUAUAUUCAGUUCAGGCAUUUUAGCUAUAGACUAUAUUGUAUUUUAUUAAAUUGGAUAAGCUAUCAUAUUGCUCUCAAGUCAAAUAUUAGCCUCAUUCUUUUUCCUUUUUUUUCCUUUUUUAAAUUUAAAGAUGUACUUUUGGAAUACACACCACAAGAUGAACUUGGCUUGGUGAUUAUCAAUAAUUAUUAUUAACAAUUAUUGGCAUUUAUAUAAUAGUUUUUUUCUUAAAAUGCGGCGUUAUUUCUACCUAUACCUUUCGCGUUCAUAUUUUACUGGUAAUAUUCUUAUAUGGAUGAUUAAAUUGGAAAAUAACAAAUUUCAAUGACUUUGUUAUUUAUUCGUAUCAGACUUUUUUUUAUAAUGGUUACUCCUAUUAUUUAUAAUAAUAUUUCUCUCUCUAUAUAUAUCAUAAUCAUGUUUUCUAUGAAACGGAUCUUUUAUGUUAUUUUAUAGCAUAUGUGUUUUAUAUAUAUUAUCAUUUCACAGUUAAAGAAAUAUCGAAACAAACAAUAUUAUUAUUUAAAAAGUACACAAGUAUAAUAUUAUUGCUUUACCUUUUAAUAUUUUAAAAUUAUUACAAAUUGUUAUGCUAAAUAAAAUUACAAUUUAUAAUAUUUUUUUAUUUAGUUUUUUGAAAUAAACAUUUUAUAUAUGAAAUAUAGAGUUGAUCUAAUUUAAUUUUAUUUUAUUUCAAAAACUAAUUAAAUUGACUCUCGAAAAAUAAAACAUGAUACUUAAUUUGGGAUGGACAAAAAUAAUAUUCAAAUAUAAAAUAUCUACAAUUUGUUGACUUCAUUUUAAAUUUCUAAGUCAAGCUGAUAACUAAUCCAACCUCAAGGACACGUCAAAUACUAUGCCACAUUAAUUUGCCCUAAAUUCCAUCCACUAAUUAACUUUCUCAACUCUAUAUUUUAUUUUUAUUCUUGAACAAAGAUGGGGACAAGUAGCGGCAUUUCACUUUCACUAUUAAUUUUUUUUAAAAUUAGUUACGAAUUUUAUCGCUAAUUUAUUGAUAAAUAGAUCCUAGUUGAUAAAUGUUUUUGAUAAUAUAUCGCUAAAUAAGAUUAUAUAGAAUGAUUUUAUUGUUUAACUAUAACAUUUAUCCAAUGCUAAUCUCUAUUUUUCUAAUAGCAUGUCCUAACUCCUAAGCAAUUCUAGAUUUACAUACGGUAACAUUCUAAGCAAAUCUCGUAUCGAUAAAACACAUAAAAUAUAAAAUAUGUUAAGUAUACAAAUGCACACGAACGUCGACGUUGUCAAAUACAUAUUAUAUUCUGAAGUAGACAAGUUAAGAGUUAUACUAUUAAAAUCAGUUUAAGUUAUGUAUCACCGGACUUGAUUCUCCUCGGAAAAAAAAGUGAGAUAUGCCAGAAUAUUAGAAAGGAAAAUUGAUAUGUUUAAAUUAAAAAGGAGCAAUAAUAGAUAGUAUAAGAUUUGUCAAGUAUCAUUAACAAAUUAUAAGGGUCGGCCAUUGGUUAUCAAUAAUCUGUGAAUUAUUGGAACUUGUUAAAUUAGGUCUUAGGCCUAACUCACACCCCAAAAGCUAGCUCAAAGGGAGGAGGAUUGCCCAAGCCUUAUAAGGAGUCCACCCAUCUCAUUAACCACCGAUGUGGGACAUUUGUCAUUCUUUAACAGAACUAAUACAAGUAUUAAAUUUUGAGAUGUCUUAAAUUUUAUACUUUUAGGCCGACAAUUUGGUUUUCCAUUUGUUUAAUUAUUUAAAAUCUUAUUUGAUUAAUAACAAUUUUUUGAAGUUACAAAAAUGCCACGAGUAAUAAUGUAUCCUAAAGUCAAAUUAUUUUCAUUCUUUGAUUUCUUCUCUUUUCAAAUGUAUUAUUCUUAAUGAUUCACAAUUUUUUUUUCCUUCUUUUGAACAAUCAUUGGCAAAUAAAUAUAAUGAAGUGCUAUUAUUUCAAGUUAUACCUUCCGCGUACGUUGGAGAUGUCUUUAGAUACAUGAUUAAGGUGGAAUAACACAAUUAAUUGUAACAUCCGUCCUUAGAAAGAGCUAAAUUUAGAAAGAACUAAUUUGGAAAGAGCCAAAUCUGAAAUUUUGCAAGUUAUGCUUAAGUUGUGAGUUUGGGAUCAACUUCAAAUGGACAUAACUUUCAAUACGGGAUGAGUUAGGUGACCCAUAAGAUAUCAAAUGAAAGGUCUUGGGAUCCUCUUUCCAACGCCACUGAGUUUGCUAAUUUUUGAGCUUGUAUGAGGGAGAUAUUCCCGUUUGAAGUCUGUCUGCACAGUUAAGGAAAGCUACCCGAAAAUGUGACGGGUAUUUUGGUCUUUUCCUUACCCCAUCAGAUUAAAAUAUUUUUAGUAAGGAUUUAGGGAUCUAAACUGAUUUGGUUCAGUUUUACAAUCCUAAUUUACGCUUAGGGUUUUGAGAAGAAUUCAAGAAGAGGAAAAGAGGAGAAAAGGAAGAAAAGAUCAAGGUUCUUGCGAAAUCGAGGAUUUGUUUCACCAAAUCGAGGUAUGUGAGUUCUCAUAGUGUUGGUUUCGUUCACCCACACGCCAAUCAUGUUAUUUUAAUGCAAUUUCAUUCUCAAAGUUGAAUGAUUUGAGUUCUUGAUGAGUGUUCUUGAAGUAUUGCUUUCAUUCUUGAAUUAGGAUGGGUUUGAUGAGUUCUUGAGCUAAUCGUAUUGAGUUUAAGAGUUGUUUUUGAGUAGAUUUUUAUGUACUUGUAUUGGGUAAUUGAAUCUAAGGAAAAAUUGAGAAAAGAAAUCGAUUAUAGACGAAUUAGGGUCAGAAAAUGAGAAAGAAAAUUCGUCGGGAUGAUCUGGGGAAGGGGUGGCGCGGUGCGCCCCAGAUGCGCUAACAGGUCUGGCAUGGUGUGCCAGCAGUGCGCCAGAAUCUAGUCUCUGAAGUUCAGGGGCUGGUGCCCCACGCCAGCAGUGCGCCAGGGUCGCCUGCCCCACUCUUUUUCCGUCGUUUGCUCCAUCUAAGUCCUUUUAAAGUACAUUUACUCCCUAUUGAUUCUAACUACUCUAAAAUACUUCUAAACAUUGAGAAAUCAUUCAUAACACGAAUCAUAACCUUGAAUCCAUAAUUCAAAUUCAAGGUAGAGUUAAGAGUUAAGUCUUGAGAGUUCUUUCGAGUCAUUUUGAAAAGUCUUUUACAAUCUUUUAAAACUUGUUUAAGACUUGAGCAUUUGAGUUUGAGGAAGAGUAGAGUUGAGUUCAUUUUCUUUAAAAUAAUAUAUGGGAACUAAAUAUUCCCAAGAGCAAAUGUUUUUACAUUUAAGAUGAGAGGAAACACCGAUUUCCAAAAGAGUUCAUGAGCAGUUUUAAGUACUAUCUCCUUUUAGAGAAAUCUUUUGAGUAAUAAUCUCAAAGUUGAUGAUGAGGAAAUAUUUUCUUUAAAACAUAUGAGCUAAGUUAUAUUUUUUGGAGUAGUAUUGAGUACCGAUAUGGGGGAGAGUUCCAACAACUCACAACCCCCAUAAACCAUGUAGCCAACGUGGGUAGAAAGGGUUAUACUUUUUAAAUGAUUCCUUAUUACUUUUUAAGCAUAGACUAGUGGAUCCACUUAGUUGAGGAGUUCUAUACCCCGGCAAGGUAUAGGACAGUUCUGGCAGCGUGGGCUAGACGAUGUAUCAUCGCAUAGCUCAUAGUGAUGGUUGUCGGUUAGAGAAUCUCCCAAUCAGAAUUAUUUUGUAUUUUUACAUACAAACUGAGUUAUAUUGUAUUUUCCAAUACAUUGAGUUGCUAUCUACUGUUUUAAAAGUUUUUCUUUAUAUCGCAUUACUGUUAUUGCUUUUAUAUUGAAAUGAGUUGAGGUUGAGUUGAGUUGAGACGAGGUAAGUUGUUUCUUCAAUUCCAGUUCAAGCUUAUGUCAUGUUUAGAUUUCCCCUCGCAUGUUUGUACAUUUCAUGUACUAACGUCAUUUAGCCUACAUCUUUUAUGAUGCAGAUACAGAUAACCAGGAUCAUCAACCACCACUUCGUUAAUCCAGUCGAGUUCCAGAGUUGUCUGGUGAGCCUCCUUGCUUUUGGAGGAUCCCUUACUUAUCUUCAGUCAUUUCAGUUUGUUAGGAUGAUCAGGGGUCUUGUCCCAACAUCCCUCAUAGUAUUAGAGGCUUCAUAGAUAGUUAGACAGUAUUAGUUCAUGAAUCUUGUUCAUUUCAGUUGUUAUGUUCUAGACUUGAAUUACCCUUAAGGCCAGUUUGAAUGUUUUAUUUCUAAAAUAUUCUGAGUUUAUCUUUUGACACAUUUUAGUUAUAGUAUACUUUUAAAGUCAUCUUACUUCGAGUAAGUCUUUCGCUAAGAGUUGAGCCAGACCAAAGGUUCGCUUGGGGCCAACAAUGGUUCUCGAGUGUCAGCCACGUCCAGGGUGUAGGCUCGGGGCGUGACAUUAAUUAAGGUUUCAAUAAUUGUUUUUAUAUUUGGGAUAUAUAUAUAUAUAAAAUGUACAAGUAAAAAUCCUAGUCAUUGCACAUCUCUUAAUGGUAUAUUUAUUGUUUGACUCCCUUUUUUAUUGAAAGGUUGUUGCUAGUUUUAUCUAUUAGAUUGUUACUCGUUCAGAUAUAGUUUUUGAUAUUCACAGAGUAAGUUAAUUUAUGAAUGUUCCUCGUUUAACUCAUUACCUUAUUGAGAUUUUCAAUUUGACACAAAUCAACCUUGAGCUUAGUGAUAUAAUAAUGGUAUGUAUAAUUGUAUUUCAAUGUAUUAUACUUGUAUAUCAUAAGAUAUAAGUGUGAUAUACUAAAAAUACAAAGGCAUACAAGUGUAUGUCGUAUGUCGUAUGUAUCUUCAAUGUCAAGCAAUUGUUUGUUGUACGUAUAUAUGUUUAAAUCUGGAUCGUCUUCUUUAUAUGUAUCUUCACUGCAUUUCGUUGUAUAAUAUAAAAAUUACAAUUUGUUGAGCGAGCGCAUGCAAUCUAUUGUAAUUGCAUGUGUUGAUACCAAUGUUUUAAAGGCGAUGGCGUGAGACGAGACGUUUUAUACAGUAUGCAGCGAGGAGUAAGCCUCGAGACACGGGGCAUAAGUCUCAUGGAUCUACGGGGCGUAUUCUCAUUGAUAUUCAAUUUUAUAGUUUUAUUACUAAUAAAAUAAGCAAAAGUAAACAUUUCAAUGAUUUUACAAAUAUUUUUUUAUAAAUAACCUACCAUAUAUAGAAAUUAUAUGAUGAUUUUUAUUUGAGAUAAGUAUCAAUAAUCAAUAAUGAAGAAAAAAAAGUAUUAUAAUUACUAUUUGAGAAAUGUCAUUACACCAAUAAUAAAAAAUACUAUGAUUUAAAGCAAAAAAAUGUUCAAAAAAAUAGAUUAAAAACUCCCAGGACUACGUUUUUACGCCCAGGAUUUACGUUUUUAUGCUCGAGGCUUACGCCUCAAAUAUUAGAACUUACGCCUUAUAGAUUUGCAUCUUUAAUUUACACCUCAAAGCGUUUUUUGAAACGCCCCUCUCCGAGACUCGCCCCAAAAACGUUUUUGAAAACACUGGUUGAUACAAAAAAAUUAAGUGAAUGCAUACAAUCUAUGCAACUUGGUGAUAAUUGAACAGUAACUAUAAAUGAAUACAAGAAAAAUUAGAGUGAAUAAAUAUUAGUGAUACCAGCUUAUACAAUAAAGUGAAUGAAUACAAGUGAAGUUAGAGCAAAUGGGUACAAAUAAUACAAGUUGGUAAUAAUUAAUAUAGUAGAACAAAUGAAUACAAGUGAAGUUAGAGCAAAUGAAUAGAAUCUCCCGUAUUUUUGUUAUUUUGUGUUUGUUGUAUUCAUUGUACGACCAAAUACAUUUAAUACAUGUAUAUUCAUCACGUGAAUAAAUACAAUUGAUGCAAAUUAUAUUCAUUGCGCAAACGAAUACAUUUGACCACAAAUAAUUUUUUUUUAAAAAAAUACCUAUGAGUUGGUAACGGUUUUAAAUUUGUGAAUGUGAAAGUCAGCUUACAAUUUAUUGACAUUAAAGUUGCGGUCUUACUGUUCCAACUAUAAUUUAUACCACUUAAAUUCAGUGUACCUACUCCUGUCCAUAAUAAGUGAUAUAUUUUGGUUUCUGGCAAAUAAUUUUUCAAAAUAAAUAAUUCCUCCUUUGUUUUUAUUUAUUCAUAAUCAUAAUGAAUUUGUACAUUUUUUUAAUUAUGAAAAAUAAUAAAUGAGGUGUUUAUUUUACUAUAAAUUAAUGUUUCUAUAAAAGACUUAUCAUCGUCAAACAUAAUAAUUAAUAUAUAAUUUGUUUGUUUGGUUUUGAUUUGUUACGGAGUUUAAAAGAUUAAAGAAGACUUUUGAAUCUUAUAAUUUUACCAAACUGUUAUUUGAUCUUGUGACCUUAAAUAUAUCACAUGAAAAGUUGGAAUUAAAGAGUAUUAAGAAAAAGAAAAAAAUCAUUUCUUGAAAAUAGACUAAAAAGAAAAAUAAGACAAACAAAUUAAAAUUAAAAAAAUAGUGUUUUUUUAACUAUUUCUAUUAUUUUAUAUUUUGUAUCUUAAUUUGGCUAGACAUGAAACUUAAGAAGGUAAAGAAGAUGCUUAAAUUAAGUGGUUUUAAAUUAAAUGCAUGUACAAGUAUAAAAGAAUAUUCUUUUCAUUGUAUGAUUUUAAACAUGUCACCUCAUCCUUAUAAUAUAAGUAAGUACUAUUAAGGAUAAAAUGAAAAUAUUAGCAUUAAAAAUUUACUAAAUAUAAAAAUAUGACAUUUUAAAACAAAAGUAAGAAAAUAAAUUAGAUCUAUAUGUGAUACUAUUCCAAUUUGGAGAGAAUCAAAUGAGUUUUGCUUGACCAUGUAUUAUUUUCAAAUAUAUUUAAUUGUUAAUUAUUUUGACUUAUAGUACUUUUUAUAUAUAUUUCUAAAUAUGUAAAUACUAUACAAAACAUAGAGAAUCUAUGUUCAAAUAAUCAAAUUCACACACAAAAAAAUGAGCCCGUUUAGAUUGACUUAAAAAAAUAAUUAUUAAGUCAAAAAUAAAAAGUCGCGGGAGAUCUAUUUUUGAUUUUUUGACUUAUUUUAAGUCAUUUUAAACUUCUUUUAAGUUAUUUUUUUUACCUUGUCAAACACUUUCUAACUUAUUUAAAGUCAUUUUUGACUUAUUUUAAGUUAUUUUUUUAUAUUUGUCAAACACUUUCGAAAGUCAAAAACUGACUUAAAAGUAGGUUUGACCAACUUUUAAUUCAAUUCAAACACCCUCUUUGACUCUCGUAUUCUGAAUUGUGACACAUAAAAUGAAACAAAAAGCAUGUGCCGACUUACGAAAAAUAUAAUGUUUUUCAAGUAAUCAAAUCUAGCAAAACAUAAACAUACUAGACAAAAAAAAAUUUCAUCUAUUCAUAUUUUGUUAUAAAAAUAUUAGAUAAUUUUUUUUAGGGAUAAGGGUCUGAAAAAUACCCCAACUUUGGUCGGAUUUGUUGUUGUCAAUACUAAACUUUCAUGAGGACCUAUUGCCUCCCUAGACUAUUUAAUACCGUAUUUUUUACCCCCUGAACUAGUUAAUAGUGUAUUUUUAAAGGUAUAUAUGUGCCCGCGUGGACACAUUACUAUUUAUAAUUUUGUAUUAUUUUUUAAUGUUCCACGAGGGCAAAAUAUAUAUGUUUAAAAUACGGUAUUAAAUAGUCUAGGGAUGUAAUAGGUCCUCAUGAAAGUUUAGUAUCGCAACAGCAAAUCCGAUCAAAGUUGGAGUAUUUUUCAGACCCUUAUCCUUUUUUUAUGAUUAUAAAAGAAAUAGAACAUAGAGAAUUUUAGAACCUAUUUGACUUGACUUAUUGCUUUUGACUUAUUUUUAUAUUUUAACUUAAAAUGAGUACUUAAAAUUACUUUUUACUUUUACUCAAACGCUAUAAAUAUUAAAAAGUAAUUUUAACUUAAAAAUACCUAAAAUAAAUCAAAAUCCAAAAUACUUCUAGUUUUUGACUAUUAUUCAUUCGACAUCUUCUACUUUUUUUCCUUAGGAGACUUUUGCUUCAAAUAUAGUGGCACCCUAAAGUCUAGAUCACCAUAGACUUUUCAAACAUUAGACUUUUCUUCAAAUAAAAACAAGGUUGUCUCUUUUAACUUUUGUGAACCUAGACCAUAUUAUGUCACUAUUCAAACAACCUCAAUACCCCACAUUAUUUGGAACUUAAUUAAAACCUCAAAUCAAGACGAUUUACUUUAUAAUCUAUUUAUUUGAUUUUUUAACUUGAUAUAAAAUUUUAAAAAAUAAAAAUGACUAUUAAUUAUGCAUUUAAAUUAAAGAUACACAGAAUAUAUUAAAUUGUUACUGAAAUUAAAGAAUUACCGAAAAAGGAGAGUACUAGUUAAUAUGUGGAAUUUAGUGUCUUUGUUUUUCCCCCCCCCUCAUAUUCACACUUGAAGCUUUAAUGAAAAAAUAAUUAAUGGUACUUUUUUCCCCCUUUUUGUACAAACUCUAAUAAUCUCCUUAUAUCUUCAUAUUUUAAUACUCUAAAUAACUGUCAGUCUCUCAUUGUGCCUUUUUCACUCCACUUUCUUUGAACCAUUUUUUUUCUCUAAAUUUUCUUGAUAACCAAACAAAUCAUAACGAGUUUGAGGUUUUUCUUUUGAGGAAUCUUAUAAUUUGCCUUUUUUCUAUUUUCCUUUUGAUAUGAUUAGAGAGAAAAAUUAUUUUUCAGUGGUGUUAGAUUCAUUGAACCAGGACAGCAUUUGGUUUCUUGCAUCUUGUUCCUCUUUAAGGUUUGUUUUUUUUUUCUCUAAAAAAAUAAUUUCAGAAUAAGUGGAAUUUUUUAUUUUUUAUUUUUUAAUUUGGACCAUAGAGUGUGCAUAUCUUGCUUUAUGUUGCGUUUGCCUUUUCAAAAUACUGUUUGUCUCAACAUUUUUGGCCACAUUUUACUUUUUGAAAGUAGUGGAUUUAGAAUUUUAAGUUUAUGAAUACUACUACUAUUUAUGCGCUUGCUUUCAUUUACCCCAGAGCUUUGGUUUAGUGUUAGACUGUGGUAUAUGUUGGUUAGAUGCACGUCAUUGAUUUGAAUUAUGUUAUAGACAAAAUGCUGGGGGUUUAAGUGAGGAAACAUAGAAAGACGAGCCCGUUAUCCAUGGAGUUUCGAACCAUGAGCCAAUGACCCUUGGAAAUUUAUCUGCUAGAAAAAAGUGCUAGUUUAUGAUAAUGUGUCAUUUAAUAUUCUAAUUUAUGUUAUUCACUUUUUUUUUUUUAGUCUGUCUCCUAAUAUUUUGUUUUAUUGUAGACCAUUAAUUUCACGAAUAUUUUUUUUUCCCUUAAAUUCGUGCCUAUUAAAAUGCAUCAUAUGAAUUGGGACAGAUGGUUAUAUAUUAAUAUAUUAUGGGACAUAUGCCUCUAAAAAGUUUCAAUAAAAGUGGAUGCUAUCCUCUUAAUAAAUUAUCAUGACUUUUUAAUUUUUAAUGUCGAUAUUAACCAUUUACGUGUUUCAUUAAUUUUGUUUUAAAAUAAAAAGUCACAUAACUACACGUUUACCCUUUUGAAGUUCUUUAAAUAUAACAAUUAAUUAUAUAUGGGACCUAAAGAUAAUUAAGUAGGUAGAAAAAAUUCAUUUCUUUAAUUUAUAGGUACUAAUUUGGUCCACUAUCAAUGGUUUUUAAGUAAGGCGUAUGAAAGUUGGAUUUUGUCUAGCCAUUGCAUAUUUGUUGUGCUAAAAUUGGAAUAAUAAACUUCUUUUAUUAUUUGUCCGUUUAGUGGAUGGUUAUUCAUAUAGAUGAUCCAGGAUCACUUCCCCUCAAUGCCUCUUGUGGUUCACAUCUCCUGUGUGGUUUAUAGACUAUUACACAGUGGAAUGUUUUAUCGUUGCGGGUUAUCCUGGGUUCUAAAAAAACAAAAACAAAAAAGAACUUUGCUGGAAAUCAUAUCAAAAAUGUUCUAAAAAGUCCUUAUUAAUACUAUUAAGUACAGAAAGUUGUUCACUUAAAGGCAAGUGACAUUCUGUUCUAUAGCUACAACGCUUAAUAUUCGUUAUUACUAUCAAACAUCUGAAUAGUAGAACUACUUUCGUAUGUUUUAUUAAACAGCUAAAGAGAAUGAGCAUGAUCAUGGAAUUAUUCAGUGACUGCGGAUUCAAAAUUUAGAUGUUAUGAAUGCUAUGAGUUCUUAGUUGAGAGAAUGAGUUUCAAAAUGUAUAUGUUACUCCUAAGUUAACAUCAAACAAGAUAUUUUACGUGAUCUUUAGUAUAUGCUUACAUUAGAAUAAAUUCCUCAAAACAGAACAAAUUCAAGCAUCAAACAAACGUUAAGCCUUUUUUCACUUGUCGUAUGUUGAACAAAGUAUCAUGUUCUGUUUUAUGAAUUUGAAGUUAUUCUAGAUUUCGUCUUAGUGAAAAAUAUUGGCACCAUGUGAGGUGAAUUACAUGCCUAAUUCUGAACAACAUACCAAACUUUGGUUGUCAAUUGUUCAAUCUUGUUAUACUAGAUGUAUUCAAAUUAUAGAGGUUGUUAACAUUUCAUGCUCACUUUGUGUAAAUCAAUGGUUAUCGACGAUCCAUCUGUCUUUUAGACAGAAUAUAAUUUUGUUCUGUAGCUUCUAAUAAUAGUAUGUGCCAGGCAAAUGCUUACUUUUUUAGCACACCACUAAUAGUCUUGUAGAGUUAAAACUUUAACUUGUAAGUCUCUAGUUAUCUAUAUAAGGAACAAGCAAGAACUUUUCUAAUGUAGUGCAAAGUUCAGUAAGUUUUGGAACUAAAAGUUUCCCUCUGUGUUCAUCGAAUUUUUGAAAGGGUUGGUGUAACUUCUUGUUUUAUCACAUGGUUUUACAUCUAAUAGAAGUUGAUCUAAUAUCUUGACUGAGGACACGACCUUAGAUAAGAGUGUAUGGAGGCCGCGGAUUAGGGUAGAAGGUUAGUAGAUAGUCGAGUGUUGUCUUGUUUUUCGACAGGAUAGGGCUUGGUGGUAGUCUAGAGCACCGUGUCUGUUGUAGGUUGUAUUAGCCUUAUUCAUGUAGUUUCUGGCUUUUGGUAUCUGUCAUCAUUUGUUGUUUACUAUGUUUAGGUGAUCGCACUAUGUUAUUGUUGUUUCUUGCACUGCUUUCCUAUUAGUUGUCAUGUUUUCUUCACUGUCGUUUUUCCUUUCCAUUACUACUUUGAUUUGCUUCACUUGAGUUGAGGGUCUUUCGAAAACAAUCUCUCUACCUCCACGAGGUAGGAGUAAGGUCUGCAUAUUCUCUACAUAUGGUGUUGUUGAUUUGGCUGCAUUAACUAGCUUGAAUGAAACUUUAAGUAUUUUGUAUGGUGAUAUAACUCAAUUGUAGUUCCUCUACAUUACAGGUGAAUUAGGUGUUCUUUUCUAGCAUGGCUAAUUCUAAUGCUGACGCAGAAGAAAAAAAAGAGAUGGACAUAAGGAGUUUCUCGUCGUCACAACACAACCAAACACCCUAUAUUCACAAGGUUGGAGUCCCUCCAAAACAGGGCAUAUUCAAAGAGUUUAAGACUACUGUGAAGGAAACGUUCUUCGCAGAUGAUCCACUACGUCCUUUCAAGGAUCAAACGAGGUCUAGGAAGGUUGUACUUGGUUUACAGGCCAUAUUUCCGAUACUAGAUUGGGGUAGAAGCUAUAACUUAAGAAAAUUCAGAGGUGACCUUAUCUCUGGUCUCACCAUUGCAAGCCUUUGUAUUCCUCAGGUAAAGAGUGUUCCUGGACUAUGUUGCUCGGAUCCUCCGAAAAUGCAUAACUUGUAGAGGAUACGACAUACACCUGAUGACAUUUUCGAAGGAUCUGAGAAACAUAGUGCCCGAAGGAUUUGUAUUAAUGAAAUCAGUAUUGUUAGGAUCUUUACAAAACUCUUAUAAAAAACUUUCAACUGGUAUGACAGGACAUUGGCUACUCAAAGCUUGCAAAUUUAGCUCCUCAGUAUGGAUUAUGUAAGUGUUCCUUAUUAACUUUAUUUUUAUUAAUAAUCGCGAAAUGUCCUUUUUCAUUCUUCUCUUUGUUUGAAAUUCCAGACUCCAGCUUUGUACCACCUCUAGUUUACGCCUUCAUGGGCAGUUCAAGAGAUAUAGCCAUAGGGCCUGUGGCUGUUGUGUCACUCUUGCUAGGAACUCUGCUCCGGAAUGAAAUUGAUCCGAGUAAACAUCCAGACGAGUAUCUGAGGCUUGCUUUCACAGCAACCUUUUUCGCUGGCAUUACUCAGGCUACUCUUGGGAUCCUAAGGUGAUUAAAACAUUUGAGUAUCGAGUUGGAUGUAUAGUCAGACCUCUCUAUAACAGUCAUCCUCUAUAACAACAUUUCACUAUAACGACCAAGUUUUCUUUGAAACCACUUUUUCAUAUUACGUUAUAUCAUAUGUUCUCUAUAACAGUCAUUUUGCUCUAGCAGAUAAAUAACAUUCAGACAAACGACAUUGUUAUAGAGAGGUUUGACUGUAUUUGUUCUUUGUUUCCUUCUCUUUCUGACUUACCCUCCCGCGUUGUUUUCUUGGCAGAUUGGGCUUCUUGAUAGACUUUCUAUCUCAUGCUGCUGUUGUUGGAUUCAUGGGUGGUGCUGCCAUCACAAUUGCCCUUCAGCAACUUAAAGGUUUUUUGGGCAUUAAGAAGUUUACUAAGAAAACAGAUAUCAUUUCUGUGAUGAAGUCAGUGUUUCAUUCGGUCGAACAUGAAGUAAGUUUUCUUGUCACUUGAAAACAUCCUACCUAAGAUGUCUUUUAUGGAUAACUUGAAAUUUUGCAACAACUUGCAGUGGAAUUGGCAGACAAUACUCAUCGGAGCUACCUUUUUAACUUUCCUUUUGUUCGCGAAGUACAUUGUAAGUGUCCUGAGCUCUAUCGACUAAAUUUUGAAAGCAUUUGGUAGCGUUUACUCGAUUCUAAGAUAUUUUUGGCAACCAGGGAAAGAAGAAUAAAAAGCUGUUUUGGGUACCUGCAAUUGCUCCUUUGAUUUCUGUCAUUCUUUCGACUUUUUUUGUCUACAUUACUCAUGCUGAUAGGAGGGGAGUUGCCAUUGUAAGUUCUUGUUUUAGAUUCUUCCUACUUUCACUCAAUUUUCCAUCAUUGGAGUAAAAUGAUGAUCUCUUUUUAAUCGACUUGUUUAACGAUCUUACCAGGUAGGACCCAUAGAGAAGGGAAUCAAUCCUCCAUCUGUCGAUAAAAUAUAUUUCAGUGGUGACUAUCUCAUAAAAGGGAUUAGGACUGGUAUUGUAGCUGGCGUGAUUGCAUUGACAGUAAGUCAAAUCUUGAAUGAAAUGUCGAAGAAGGAACCUUUUCACAUUUCUGUACUAAAUGUAUGAUCUAUUAUUACCUUUUCAUUCAUAGGAAGCUGUUGCAAUCGGAAGAACAUUUGCUUCAAUGAAGGACUACCAGUUGGACGGAAACAAAGAGAUGGUAGCACUUGGAACUAUGAACAUCGUUGGCUCGAUGACAUCCUGUUAUGUAGCUACAGGUAAGACAAAUCAACAAGCAAACGGAGUAUGAUCAGUAAUGAUAUAAUGUGUUUUUAACUUUCAACACAUUAGUUUGUUUGUCUAACUAGUUGAUCGAUUCACCUCUUGCAGGUUCCUUUUCUCGAUCAGCAGUAAACUACAUGGCUGGCUGCCAAACUGCAUUUUCCAACAUUGUCAUGUCUGUUGUCGUGUUCCUAACUUUGGAGUUCAUAACCCCUCUUUUUAAGUUUACUCCGAAUGCAAUCCUUGCUGCCAUCAUUAUCUCAGCUGUACUCGGCUUAAUUGACUAUGAAGCAGCAAUUUUGAUCUGGAAAAUCGAUAAAUUUGACUUUGUUGCUUGCAUUGGAGCAUUCUUUGGCGUGGUUUUUGCCUCUGUUGAGAUUGGUCUUUUGAUCGCGGUAAGUCCAUACAGAAAAACUUAACAAUCUCAUCAACUUAAAUGUAUCUUUCAGCAAUAAGAUCUGAUAGUUACUUUCAUUUUCCAAAGGUAACAAUAUCAUUUGCUAAGAUUCUCCUCCAAGUCACGAGGCCACGAACAGCUACUCUAGGAAGGAUACCGCGGACAAAUGUAUAUAGAAACACUCAACAAUACCCCGAGGCAACCAAAGUUCCUGGUGUAUUGAUAGUUAGAGUUGAUUCUGCUAUAUACUUUUCAAACUCUAACUAUAUAAAGGAAAGGUAAAAGACAUUUCUUCCCCUUUCCCCCUUUCUUUCGUAUCUUUAUGUACUACGAAUAAAUGAACUUAACAAACUAAUCAACGCGUUUUUCAGGAUAUUGAGAUGGCUAAUGGAUGAGGAAGAACAACGAAAAGCAGCUAGUGAUCCUAAAAUUCAAUUCUUGAUCGUUGAGAUGUCACGUAAGUAGAGAUUAAAAGUAUGUUAUCUUACUCCGAGAUGAUAUAUUGAUCGUGUUUUUCCUCCUUGUAGCUGUUACUGAUAUUGACACCAGUGGCAUCCAUGCCUUGGAAGAGUUGCAUAGAAGCCUAAAAAAGAGAAAUGUUCAGGUAAAUCAUCUUUUACAUAUGUGAAAAAUUACAAAAAUUUCAACAAACAUGUCUAUAGGACGUCAACUUUAAAUUUUGGAUUUGCCUCUGUGACUCGAAAUCUUACCUUCAUUUUUUCUUGCACAGCUUGUUCUGUCGAACCCCGGGAGAGUAGUGAUUGACAAGUUACAUGCAUCCAAAUUUCCAGAUCAAAUUGGUGAGGACAAGAUUUUUCUCACAGUUGCUGAUGCUGUGCUAACAUGUUCAUUAAAAUUGCCUGAAGAAGUGUAAUAUUGUAAACAAAAACUUAUUAGGCCAAGGGAGGGGAACAUAUCUACCAAAAGUAUACAAAAAAGGAGUUGGAUUCAAUUUUUAGUGACUUGUGGGAUCCUCAAAAAAAGUGAUUGGACAUUUUAUCCAAAAAAAGAUAGUGGCCCUUUGGUUCUUAGCCAAAUUGCCAAAAAGAAUUCUUGAUUGGUUAAAAGUUAGUGUAGUUAUAAUAUAGUCUUUUUCAUAAGAGUUUCCCUUUGUCUUUUCUUGUUUUUAUUAAGAGGCUAUUAAUUAUGUACUACUAAACAAGACCUCUGUAAAAUAGUUUUAAGAUGGUUUUGUUGACCAUGUUAACAAAGAUUAUAGUGUUAACGCGAGAUGUUUUAUGUACUGAACUGUGUUUUCACUCCUUUCUUUAAAUAUGCACUGACCAUGGUAACAAAUAGUAUCUUCAUACGUGAUUAUUGUUGGUUUUAGCCAUUAAGUGGCUAAGAUCGUUGGUGUUUAAAUGUGAUUAAAUGAAAUUUCUAAGAUCCCGGAGUUCAACCAUUAAACACCACCAAUUUGAGGGGCAUAAAUUUAAAGACCACCCCUACUUUGGAAGCGAGAGGUUGUUUUCGAUAGACAGUUGGUUUUAACUUCAUCCACCAACAUAGACAUAAAUAUCUUUUAAGGCAUUGACCAAAGUUCUGUCAAGACUUGGCACUCUUGCUACAAGCUAAUACUAUGAAUGACACAAAAUAAUAAGGGAAAGAGAAAUAGAGGAUGGUCAAGAGAAACUCAGUACUGAAUAAGCAACUAAUAGGAGCAUAAAUUACAGCUCAUAUUUUAUUUAGGCAUUCAUUCAAUAAAUAAAUUUUCAAGGCUAACCAAUUGUUAGACAGACUAUAAGAUGACAAUGUAAUUAUACAUAAAAGAGUGAUCAGGUCUGCAGAAAUUUCAAUAAAGGACCCUGCUGAACCGCGAAUCUCUCUGCUCAAACGAAUGAAGACUACACCCUGCUCACUCUCAAGUUGCUAAUAUUUACACUCCGCGAGACAAAUUUAAACCAGUGGUUCUGCCUAGCUUCUACGAUGUAUUAUCGAUAGUGAAGAGAGAACAAUCAUCAUGGUACAGAUUGUGUGCUAACCGUGCUGCUUCUCCAAAGAGGAGGAUGCACUGGUUGGCAGGAAACUGUCUGAUCAAAUGGAAGACAAUGAUUGCUGACAGGUUACGAGCUGGUUGACUAAGUAAGCACCUUUUUUAGGUCACUGAUCAAUUGCUCUCGUGUUGCUGGCUCGACCUGCACAUGGAAACAUGAAGUUUUUAUUAAGGCACCUAAAGCAAGUAAAGGUAAAAUGGAUGAAAAUGUUGAUGCUACAGGAGAGACUUUGAUUG
rnacentral:lncRNA from 1 species